GGGCUGGGCUUUUCACUGACCAUGUAGGUGGAUUAGUUGUGUGGGCAAAGUGUGUCAUCAUAGCCACUAUGUUUUCUGCACUUCGAGUAGACAGCACCUUGAUAGCUCAGUUGGUAGAGCAGAGGACUGUAGGCAGUUCCUCCUAUGAAGUGCUGUGGUUCCAAGGUCGCUGGUUCAACUCCCGCUCAAAGCAAGCCUUGUGUUCAUCUGUCAGCUCCUCCAAAAUUUAAAAACACAAACAAGAUAACUCCUACUUUAUUUUCCAACCAUCAAUUUUUUAUUCACCCAGCCUAAAAGUCCUGAUUAUCAGUUCUGGGUCCCUGGCAAUGACUGUUGGGUACAAACUGAGAAGCUGUGCUCUGAAGGUAGGGCUGGGCUUUUCACUGACCAUGUAGGUGGAUUAGUUGUGUGGGCAAAGUGUGUCAUCAUAGCCACUAUGUUUUCUGCACUUGGAGUAGACAGCACCUUGAUAGCUCAGUUGGUAGAGCAGAGGACUGUAGGCAGUUCCUCCUAUGAAGUGCUGUGGUUCCAAGGUCGCUGGUUCAACUCCCGCUCAAAGCAAGCCUUGUGUUCAUCUGUCAGCUCCUCCAAAAUUUAAAAACACAAACAAGAUAACUCCUACUUUAUUUUCCAACCGUCAAUUUUUUAUUCACCUAGCCUAAAAGUCCUGAUUAUCAGUUCUGGGUCCCUGGCAAUGACUGUUGGGUACAAACUGAGAAGCUGCGCUCUGAAGGUAGGGCUGGGCUUUUCACUGACCAUGUAGGUGGAUUAGUUGUGUGGGCAAAGUGUGUCAUCAUAGCCACUAUGUUUUCUGCACUUGGAGUAGACAGCACCUUGAUAGCUCAGUUGGUAGAGCAGAGGACUGUAGGGAGUUCCUCCUAUGAAAUGCUGUCGUUCCAAGGUCGCUGGUUCAACUCCCGCUCAAAGCAAGCCUUGUGUUCAUCUGUCAGCUCCUCCAAAAUUUAAAAACACAAACAAGAUAACUCCUACUUUAUUUUCCAACCAUCAAUUUUUUAUUCACCCAGCCUAAAAGUCCUGAUUAUCAGUUCUGGGUCCCUGGCAAUGACUGUUGGGUACAAACUGAGAAGCUGUGCUCUGAAGGUAGGGCUGGGCUUUUCACUGACCAUGUAGGUGGAUUAGUUGUGUGGGCAAAGUGUGUCAUCAUAGCCACUAUGUUUUCUGCACUUGGAGUAGACAGCACCUUGAUAGCUCAGUUGGUAGAGCAGAGGACUGUAGGCAGUUCCUCCUAUGAAGUGCUGUCGUUCCAGGGUCGCUUGUUCAACUCCCGCUCAAAGCAAGCCUUGUCUUCAUCUGUCAGCUCCUCCAAAAUUUAAAAACACAAACAAGAUAACUGCUACUUUAUUUUCCAACCAUCAAUUUUUUAUUCACCCAGCCUAAAAGUCCUGAUUAUCAGUUCUGGGUCCCUGGCAAUGACUGUUGGGUACAAACUGAGAAGCUGCGCUCUGAAGGUAGGGCUGGGCUUUUCACUGACCAUGUAGGUGGAUUAGUUGUGUGGGCAAAGUGUGUCAUCAUAGCCACUAUGUUUUCUGCACUUGGAGUAGACAGCACCUUGAUAGCUCAGUUGGUAGAGCAGAGGACUGUAGGCAGUUCCUCCUAUGAAGUGCUGUGGUUCCAGGGUCGCUGGUUCAACUCCCGCUCAAAGCAAGCCUUGUGUUCAUCUGUCAGCUCCUCCAAAAUUUAAAAACACAAACAAGAUAACUCCUACUUUAUUUUCCAACCAUCAAUUUUUUAUUCACCCAGCCUAAAAGUCCUGAUUAUCAGUUCUGGGUCCCUGGCAAUGACUGUUGGGUACAAACUGGGAAGCUGCGCUCUGAAGGUAGGGCUGGGCUUUUCACUGACCAUGUAGGUGGAUUAGUUGUGUGGGCAAAGUGUGUCAUCAUAGCCACUAUGUUUUCUGCACUUGGAGUAGACAGCACCUUGAUAGCUCAGUUGGUAGAGCAGAGGACUGUAGGCAGUUCCUCCUAUGAAGUGCUGUGGUUCCAAGGUCGCUGGUUCAACUCCCGCUCAAAGCAAGCCUUGUGUUCAUCUGUCAGCUCCUCCAAAAUUUAAAAACACAAACAAGAUAACUCCUACUUUAUUUUCCAACCAUCAAUUUUUUAUUCACCCAGCCUAAAAGUCCUGAUUAUCAGUUCUGGGUCCCUGGCAAUGACUGUUGGGUACAAACUGAGAAGCUGUGCUCUGAAGGUAGGGCUGGGCUUUUCACUGACCAUGUAGGUGGAUUAGUUGUGUGGGCAAAGUGUGUCAUCAUAGCCACUAUGUUUUCUGCACUUGGAGUAGACAGCACAUUGAUAGCUCAGUUGGUAGAGCAGACUAAUGUAGGCAGUUCCUCCUAUGAAGUGCUGUGGUUCCAAGGUCGCUGGUUCAACUCCCGCUCAAAGCAAGCCUUGUGUUCAUCUGUCAGCUGCUCCAAAAUUUAAAAACACAAACAAGAUAACUCCUACUUUAUUUUCCAACCAUCAAUUUUUUAUUCACCCAGCCUAAAAGUCCUGAUUAUCAGUUCUGGGUCUGGCAAUGACUGUUGGGUACAAACUGAGAAGCUGUGCUCUGAAGGUAGGGCUGGGCUUUUCACUGACCAUGUAGGUGGAUUAGUUGUGUGGGCAAAGUGUGUCAUCAUAGCCACUAUGUUUUCUGCACUUGGAGUAGACAGCACCUUGAUAGCUCAGUUGGUAGAGCAGAGGACUGUAGGCAGUUCCUCCUAUGAAGUGCUGUGGUUCCAAGGUCGCUGGUUCAACUCCCGCUCAAAGCAAGCCUUGUCUUCAUCUGUCAGCUCCUCCAAAAUUUAAAAACACAAACAAGAUAACUCCUACUUUAUUUUCCAACCAUCAAUUUUUUAUUCACCCAGCCUAAAAGUCCUGAUUAUCAGUUCUGGGUCCCUGGCAAUGACUGUUGGGUACAAACUGAGAAGCUGUGCUCUGAAGGUAGGGCUGGGCUUUUCACUGACCAUGUAGGUGGAUUAGUUGUGUGGGCAAAGUGUGUCAUCAUAGCCACUAUGUUUUCUGCACUUGGAGUAGACAGCACCCUGAUAGCUCAGUUGGUAGAACAGAGGACUCUAGGCAGUUCCUCCUAUGAAGUGCUGUGGUUCCAAGGUCGCUGGUUCAACUCCCGCUCAAAGCAAGCCUUGUCUUCAUCUGUCAGCUCCUCCAAAAUUUAAAAACACAAACAAGAUAACUCCUACUUUAUUUUCCAACCGUCAAUUUUUUAUUCACCCAGCCUAAAAGUCCUGAUUAUCAGUUCUGGGUCCCUGGCAAUGACUGUUGGGUACAAACUGAGAAGCUGUGCUCUGAAGGUAGGGCUGGGCUUUUCACUGACCAUGUAGGUGGAUUAGUUGUGUGGGCAAAGUGUGUCAUCAUAGCCACUAUGUUUUCUGCACUUGGAGUAGACAGCACCUUGAUAGCUCAGUUGGUAGAACAGAGGACUGUAGGCAGUUCCUCCUAUGAAGUGCUGUGGUUCCAAGGUUGCUGGUUCAACUCCCGCUCAAAGCAAGCCUUGUCUUCAUCUGUCAGCUCCUCCAAAAUUUAAAAACACAAACAAGAUAACUCCUACUUUAUUUUCCAAACGUCAGUUUUUUAUUCACCCAGCCUAAAAGUCCUGAUUAUCAGUUCUGGGUCCCUGGCAAUGACUGUUGGGUACAAACUGAGAAGCUGUGCUCUGAAGGUAGGGCUGGGCUUUUCACUGACCAUGUAGGUGGAUUAGUUGUGUGGGCAAAGUGUGUCAUCAUAGCCACUAUGUUUUCUGCACUUGGAGUAGACAGCACCUUGAUAGCUCAGUUGGUAGAGCACAGGACUGUAGGCAGUUCCUCCUAUGAAGUGCUGUGGUUCCAAGUUCGCUGGUUCAACUCCCGCUCAAAGCAAGCCUUGUGUUCAUCUGUCAGCUCCUCCAAAAUUUAAAAACACAAACAAGAUAACUCCUACUUUAUUUUCCAACCAUCAAUUUUUUAUUCACCCAGCCUAAAAGUCCUGAUUAUCAGUUCUGGGUCCCUGGCAAUGACUGUUGGGUACAAACUGAGAAGCUGCGCUCUGAAGGUAGGGCUGGGCUUUUCACUGACCAUGUAGGUGGAUUAGUUGUGUGGGCAAAGUGUGUCAUCAUAGCCACUAUGUUUUCUGCACUUCGAGUAGACAGCACCUUGAUAGCUCAGUUGGUAGAGCAGAGGACUGUAGGCAGUUCCUCCUAUGAAGUGCUGUGGUUCCAAGGUCGCUGGUUCAACUCCCGCUCAAAGCAAGCCUUGUGUUCAUCUGUCAGCUCCUCCAAAAUUUAAAAACACAAACAAGAUAACUCCUACUUUAUUUUCCAACCAUCAAUUUUUUAUUCACCCAGCCUAAAAGUCCUGAUUAUCAGUUCUGGGUCCCUGGCAAUGACUGUUGGGUACAAACUGAGAAGCUGUGCUCUGAAGGUAGGGCUGGGCUUUUCACUGACCAUGUAGGUGGAUUAGUUGUGUGGGCAAAGUGUGUCAUCAUAGCCACUAUGUUUUCUGCACUUGGAGUAGACAGCACCUUGAUAGCUCAGUUGGUAGAGCAGAGGACUGUAGGCAGUUCCUCCUAUGAAGUGCUGUGGUUCCAAGGUCGCUGGUUCAACUCCCGCUCAAAGCAAGCCUUGUGUUCAUCUGUCAGCUCCUCCAAAAUUUAAAAACACAAACAAGAUAACUCCUACUUUAUUUUCCAACCGUCAAUUUUUUAUUCACCUAGCCUAAAAGUCCUGAUUAUCAGUUCUGGGUCCCUGGCAAUGACUGUUGGGUACAAACUGAGAAGCUGUGCUCUGAAGGUAGGGCUGGGCUUUUCACUGACCAUGUAGGUGGAUUAGUUGUGUGGGCAAAGUGUGUCAUCAUAGCCACUAUGUUUUCUGCACUUGGAGUAGACAGCACCUUGAUAGCUCAGUUGGUAGAGCAGAGGACUGUAGGCAGUUCCUCCUAUGAAGUGCUGUCGUUCCAGGGUCGCUGGUUCAACUCCCGCUCAAAGCAAGCCUUGUCUUCAUCUGUCAGCUCCUCCAAAAUUUAAAAACACAAACAAGAUAACUCCUACUUUAUUUUCCAACCAUCAAUUUUUUAUUCACCCAGCCUAAAAGUCCUGAUUAUCAGUUCUGGGUCCCUGGCAAUGACUGUUAGGUACAAACUGAGAAGCUGUGCUCUGAAGGUAGGGCUGGGCUUUUCACUGACCAUGUUGGUGGAUUAGUUGUGUGGGCAAAGUGUGUCAUCAUAGCCACUAUGUUUUCUGCACUUGGAGUAGACAGCACCUUGAUAGCUCAGUUGUUAGAGCAGAGGACUGUAGGCAGUUCCUCCUAUGAAGUGCUGUGGUUCCAAGGUCGCUGGUUCAACUCCCGCUCAAAGCAAGCCUUGUCUUCAUCUGUCAGCUCCUCCAAAAUUUAAAAACACAAACAAGAUAACUCCUACUUUAUUUUCCAACCGUCAAUUUUUUGUUCACCCAGCCUAAAAGUCCUGAUUAUCAGUUCUGGGUCCCUGGCAAUGACUGUUGGGUACAAACUGAGAAGCUGUGCUCUGAAGGUAGGGCUGGGCUUUUCACUGACCAUGUAGGUGGAUUCGUUGUGUGGGCAAAGUGUGUCAUCAUAGCCACUAUGUUUUCUGCACUUGGAGUAGACAGCACCUUGAUAGCUCAGUUGGUAGAGCAGAGGACUGUAGGCAGUUCCUCCUAUGAAGUGCUGUCGUUCCAAGGUCGCUGCUUCAACUCCCGCUCAAAGCAAGCCUUGUCUUCAUCUGUCAGCUCCUCAAAAAUUUAAAAACACAAACAAGAUAACUCCUACUUUAUUUUCCAACCGUCAAUUUUUUAUUCACCCAGCCUAAAAGUCCUGAUUAUCAGUUCUGGGUCCCUGGCAAUGACUGUUGGGUACAAACUGAGAAGCUGUGCUCUGAAGGUAGGGCUGGGCUUUUCACUGACCAUGUAGGUGGAUUAUUUGUGUGGGCAAAGUGUGUCAUCAUAGCCACUAUGUUUUCUGCACUUGGAGUAGACAGCACCUUGAUAGCUCAGUUGGUAGAGCAGAGGACUGUAGGCAGUUCCUCCUAUGAAGUGCUGUGGUUCCAGGGUCGCUGGUUCAACUCCCGCUCAAAGCAAGCCUUGUGUUCAUCUGUCAGCUCCUCCAAAAUUUAAAAACACAAACAAGAUAACUCCUACUUUAUUUUCCAACCAUCAAUUUUUUAUUCACCCAGCCUAAAAGUCCUGAUUAUCAGUUCUGGGUCCCUGGCAAUGACUGUUGGGUACAAACUGAGAAGCUGCGCUCUGAAGGUAGGGCUGGGCUUUUCACUGACCAUGUAGGUGGAUUAGUUGUGUGGGCAAAGUGUGUCAUCAUAGCCACUAUGUUUUCUGCACUUGGAGUAGACAGCACCUUGAUAGCUCAGUUGGUAGAGCAGAGUAAUGUAGGCAGUUCCUCCUAUGAAGUGCUGUGGUUCCAAGGUCGCUGGUUCAACUCCCGCUCAAAGCAAGCCUUGUGUUCAUCUGUCAGCUCCUCCAAAAUUUAAAAACACAAACAAGAUAACUCCUACUUUAUUUUCCAACCAUCAAUUUUUUAUUCACCCAGCCUAAAAGUCCUGAUUAUCAGUUCUGGGUCUGGCAAUGACUGUUGGGUACAAACUGAGAAGCUGUGCUCUGAAGGUAGGGCUGGGCUUUUCACUGACCAUGUAGGUGGAUUAGUUGUGUGGGCAAAGUGUGUCAUCAUAGCCACUAUGUUUUCUGCACUUGGAGUAGACAGCACCUUGAUAGCUCAGUUGGUAGAGCAGAGGACUAUAGGCAGUUCCUCCUAUGAAGUGCUGUGGUUCCAAGGUCGCUGGUUCAACUCCCGCUCAAAGCAAGCCUUGUCUUCAUCUGUCAGCUCCUCCAAAAUUUAAAAACACAAACAAGAUAACUCCUACUUUAUUUUCCAACCAUCAAUUUUUUAUUCACCCAGCCUAAAAGUCCUGAUUAUCAGUUCUGGGUCCCUGGCAAUGACUGUUGGGUACAAACUGAGAAGCUGUGCUCUGAAGGUAGGGCUGGGCUUUUCACUGACCAUGUAGGUGGAUUAGCUGUGUGGGCAAAGUGUGUCAUCAUAGCCACUAUGUUUUCUGCACUUGGAGUAGACAGCACCCUGAUAGCUCAGUUGGUAGAACAGAGGACUCUAGGCAGUUCCUCCUAUGAAGUGCUGUGGUUCCAAGGUCGCUGGUUCAACUCCCGCUCAAAGCAAGCCUUGUGUUCAUCUGUCAGCUCCUCCAAAAUUUAAAAACACAAACAAGAUAACUCCUACUUUAUUUUCCAACCAUCAAUUUUUUAUUCACCCAGCCUAAAAGUCCUGAUUAUCAGUUCUGGGUCCCUGGCAAUGACUGUUGGGUACAAACUGAGAAGCUGUGCUCUGAAGGUAGGGCUGGGCUUUUCACUGACCAUGUAGGUGGAUUAGUUGUGUGGGCAAAGUGUGUCAUCAUAGCCACUAUGUUUUCUGCACUUGGAGUAGACAGCACCUUGAUAGCUCAGUUGGUAGAGCAGAGGACUGUAGGCAGUUCCUCCUAUGAAGUGCUGUGGUUCCAAGGUCGCUGGUUCAACUCCCGCUCAAAGCAAGCCUUGUGUUCAUCUGUCAGCUCCUCCAAAAUUUAAAAACACAAACAAGAUAACUCCUACUUUAUUUUCCAACCAUCAAUUUUUUAUUCACCCAGCCUAAAAGUCCUGAUUAUCAGUUCUGGGUCCCUGGCAAUGACUGUUGGGUACAAACUGAGAAGCUGUGCUCUGAAGGUAGGGCUGGGCUUUUCACUGACCAUGUAGGUGGAUUAGUUGUGUGGGCAAAGUGUGUCAUCAUAGCCACUAUGUUUUCUGCACUUGGAGUAGACAGCACCUUGAUAGCUCAGUUGGUAGAGCAGAGGACUGUAGGCAGUUCCUCCUAUGAAGUGCUGUGGUUCCAACGUCGCUGGUUCAACUCCCGCUCAAAGCAAGCCUUGUGUUCAUCUGUCAGCUCCUCCAAAAUUUAAAAACACAAACAAGAUAACUCCUACUUUAUUUUCCAACCAUCAAUUUUUUAUUCACCCAGCCUAAAAGUCCUGAUUAUCAGUUCUGGGUCCCUGGCAAUGACUGUUGGGUACAAACUGAGAAGCUGUGCUCUGAAGGUAGGGCUGGGCUUUUCACUGACCAUGUAGGUGGAUUAGUUGUGUGGGCAAAGUGUGUCAUCAUAGCCACUAUGUUUUCUGCACUUGGAGUAGACAGCACCCUGAUAGCUCAGUUGGUAGAACAGAGGACUCUAGGCAGUUCCUCCUAUGAAGUGCUGUGGUUCCAAGGUCGCUGGUUCAACUCCCGCUCAAAGCAAGCCUUGUCUUCAUCUGUCAGCUCCUCCAAAAUUUAAAAACACAAACAAGAUAACUCCUACUUUAUUUUCCAACCGUCAAUUUUUUAUUCACCCAGCCUAAAAGUCCUGAUUAUCAGUUCUGGGUCCCUGGCAAUGACUGUUGGGUACAAACUGAGAAGCUGUGCUCUGAAGGUAGGGCUGGGCUUUUCACUGACCAUGUAGGUGGAUUAGUUGUGUGGGCAAAGUGUGUCAUCAUAGCCACUAUGUUUUCUGCACUUGGAGUAGACAGCACCUUGAUAGCUCAGUUGGUAGAGCAGAGGACUGUAGGCAGUUCCUCCUAUGAAGUGCUGUGGUUCCAACGUCGCUGGUUCAACUCCCGCUCAAAGCAAGCCUUGUCUUCAUCUGUCAGCUCCUCCAAAAUUUAAAAACACAAACAAGAUAACUCCUACUUUAUUUUCCAACCAUCAAUUUUUUAUUCACCCAGCCUAAAAGUCCUGAUUAUCAGUUCUGGGUCCCUGGCAAUGACUGUUGGGUACAAACUGAGAAGCUGUGCUCUGAAGGUAGGGCUGGGCUUUUCACUGACCAUGUAGGUGGAUUAGUUGUGUGGGCAAAGUGUGUCAUCAUAGCCACUAUGUUUUCUGCACUUGGAGUAGACAGCACCUUGAUAGCUCAGUUGGUAGAGCAGAGGACUGUAGGCAGUUCCUCCUAUGAAGUGCUGUGGUUCCAAGGUUGCUGGUUCAACUCCCGCUCAAAGCAAGCCUUGUGUUCAUCUGUCAGCUCCUCCAAAAUUUAAAAACGCAAACAAGAUAACUCCUACUUUAUUUUCCAACCAUCAAUUUUUUAUUCACCCAGCCUAAAAGUCCUGAUUAUCAGUUCUGGGUCCCUGGCAAUGACUGUUGGGUACAAACUGAGAAGCUGUGCUCUGAAGGUAGGGCUGGGCUUUUCACUGACCAUGUUGGUGGAUUAGUUGUGUGGGCAAAGUGUGUCAUCAUAGCCACUAUGUUUUCUGCACUUGGAGUAGACAGCACCUUGAUAGCUCAGUUGGUAGAGCAGAGGACUGUAGGAUGUUCCUCCUAUGAAGUGCUGUGGUUCCAAGGUCGCUGGUUCAACUCCCGCUCAAAGCAAGCCUUGUCUUCAUCUGUCAGCUCCUCCAAAAUUUAAAAACACAAACAAGAUAACUCCUACUUUAUUUUCCAACCAUCAAUUUUUUAUUCACCCAGCCUAAAAGUCCUGAUUAUCAGUUCUGGGUCCCUGGCAAUGACUGUUGGGUACAAACUGAGAAGCUGUGCUCUGAAGGUAGGGCUGGGCUUUUCACUGACCAUGUAGGUGGAUUAGUUGUGUGGGCAAAGUGUGUCAUCAUAGCCACUAUGUUUUCUGCACUUGGAGUAGACAGCACCUUGAUAGCUCAGUUGGUAGAGCAGAGGACUGUAGGCAGUUCCUCCUAUGAAGUGCUGUGGUUCCAAGGUCGCUGGUUCAACUCCCGCUCAAAGCAAGCCUUGUGUUCAUCUGUCAGCUCCUCCAAAAUUUAAAAACACAAACAAGAUAACUCCUACUUUAUUUUCCAACCAUCAAUUUUUUAUUCACCCAGCCUAAAAGUCCUGAUUAUCAGUUCUGGGUCCCUGGCAAUGACUGUUGGGUACAAACUGAGAAGCUGUGCUCUGAAGGUAGGGCUGGGCUUUUCACUGACCAUGUAGGUGGAUUAGUUGUGUGGGCAAAGUGUGUCAUCAUAGCCACUAUGUUUUCUGCACUUGGAGUAGACAGCACCUUGAUAGCUCAGUUGGUAGAGCAGAGGACUGUAGGCAGUUCCUCCUAUGAAGUGCUGUGGUUCCAAGGUCGCUGGUUCAACUCCCGCUCAAAGCAAGCCUUGUCUUCAUCUGUCAGCUCCUCCAAAAUUUAAAAACACAAACAAGAUAACUCCUACUUUAUUUUCCAACCGUCAAUUUUUUAUUCACCCAGCCUAAAAGUCCUGAUUAUCAGUUCUGGGUCCCUGGCAAUGACUGUUGGGUACAAACUGAGAAGCUGUGCUCUGAAGGUAGGGCUGGGCUUUUCACUGACCAUGUAGGUGGAUUAGUUGUGUGGGCAAAGUGUGUCAUCAUAGCCACUAUGUUUUCUGCACUUGGAGUAGACAGCACCUUGAUAGCUCAGUUGGUAGAACAGAGGACUGUAGGCAGUUCCUCCUAUGAAGUGCUGUGGUUCCAAGGUCGCUGGUUCAACUCCCGCUCAAAGCAAGCCUUGUCUUCAUCUGUCAGCUCCUCCAAAAUUUAAAAACACAAACAAGAUAACUCCUACUUAAUUUUCCAACCGUCAAUUUUUUAUUCACCCAGCCUAAAAGUCCUGAUUAUCAGUUCUGGGUCCCUGGCAAUGACUGUUGGGUACAAACUGAGAAGCUGUGCUCUGAAGGUAGGGCUGGGCUUUUCACUGACCAUGUAGGUGGAUUAGUUGUGUGGGCAAAGUGUGUCAUCAUAGCCACUAUGUUUUCUGCACUUGGAGUAGACAGCACCUUGAUAGCUCAGUUGGUAGAGCAGAGGACUGUAGGCAGUUCCUCCUAUGAAGUGCUGUGGUUCCAAGGUCGCUGGUUCAACUCCCGCUCAAAGCAAGCCUUGUGUUCAUCUGUCAGCUCCUCCAAAAUUUAAAAACACAAACAAGAUAACUCCUACUUUAUUUUCCAACCGUCAAUUUUUUAUUCACCCAGCCUAAAAGUCCUGAUUAUCAGUUCUGGGUCCCUGGCAAUGACUGUUGGGUACAAACUGAGAAGCUGUGCUCUGAAGGUAGGGCUGGGCUUUUCACUGACCAUGUAGGUGGAUUAGUUGUGUGGGCAAAGUGUGUCAUCAUAGCCACUAUGUUUUCUGCACUUGGAGUACACAGCACCUUGAUAGCUCAGUUGGUAGAGCAGAGGACUGUAGGCAGUUCCUCCUAUGAAGUGCUGUGGUUCCAAGGUCGCUGGUUCAACUCCCGCUCAAAGCAAGCCUUGUCUUCAUCUGUCAGCUCCUCCAAAAUUUAAAAACACAAACAAGAUAACUCCUACUUUAUUUUCCAACCAUCAAUUUUUUAUUCACCCAGCCUAAAAGUCCUGAUUAUCAGUUCUGGGUCCCUGGCAAUGACUGUUGGGUACAAACUGAGAAGCUGCGCUCUGAAGGUAGGGCUGGGCUUUUCACUGACCAUGUAGGUGGAUUAGUUGUGUGGGCAAAGUGUGUCAUCAUAGCCACUAUGUUUUCUGCACUUGGAGUAGACAGCACCUUGAUAGCUCAGUUGGUAGAGCAGAGGACUGUAGGCAGUUCUUCCUAUGAAGUGCUGUCGUUCCAGGGUCGCUGGUUCAACUCCCGCUCAAUGCAAGCCUUGUGUUCAUCUGUCAGCUCCUCCAAAAUUUAAAAACACAAACAAGAUAACUCCUACUUUAUUUUCCAACCAUCAAUUUUUUAUUCACCCAGCCUAAAAGUCCUGAUUAUCAGUUCUGGGUCCCUGGCAAUGACUGUUGGGUACAAACUGAGAAGCUGCGCUCUGAAGGUAGGGCUGGGCUUUUCACUGACCAUGUAGGUGGAUUAGUUGUGUGGGCAAAGUGUGUCAUCAUAGCCACUAUGUUUUCUGCACUUGGAGUAGACAGCACCUUGAUAGCUCAGUUGGUAGAGCAGAGGACUGUAGGCAGUUCCUCCUAUGAAGUGCUGUGGUUCCAAGGUCGCUGGUUCAACUCCCGCUCAAAGCAAGCCUUGUGUUCAUCUGUCAGCUCCUCCAAAAUUUAAAAACACAAACAAGAUAACUCCUACUUUAUUUUCCAACCAUCAAUUUUUUAUUCACCCAGCCUAAAAGUCCUGAUUAUCAGUUCUGGGUCUGGCAAUGACUGUUGGGUACAAACUGAGAAGCUGUGCUCUGAAGGUAGGGCUGGGCUUUUCACUGACCAUGUAGGUGGAUUAGUUGUGUGGGCAAAGUGUGUCAUCAUAGCCACUAUGUUUUCUGCACUUGGAGUAGACAGCACCUUCAUAGCUCAGUUGGUAGAGCAGAGGACUGUAGGCAGUUCCUCCUAUGAAGUGCUGUGGUUCCAAGGUCGCUGGUUCAACUCCCGCUCAAAGCAAGCCUUGUCUUCAUCUGUCAGCUCCUCCAAAAUUUAAAAACACAAACAAGAUAACUCCUACUUUAUUUUCCAACCAUCAAUUUUUUAUUCACCCAGCCUAAAAGUCCUGAUUAUCAGUUCUGGGUCCCUGGCAAUGACUGUUGGGUACAAACUGAGAAGCUGUGCUCUGAAGGUAGGGCUGGGCUUUUCACUGACCAUGUAGGUGGAUUAGUUGUGUGGGCAAAGUGUGUCAUCAUAGCCACUAUGUUUUCUGCACUUGGAGUAGACAGCACCCUGAUAGCUCAGUUGGUAGAACAGAGGACUCUAGGCAGUUCCUCCUAUGAAGUGCUGUGGUUCCAAGGUCGCUGGUUCAACUCCCGCUCAAAGCAAGCCUUGUCUUCAUCUGUCAGCUCCUCCAAAAUUUAAAAACACAAACAAGAUAACUCCUACUUUAUUUUCCAACCGUCAAUUUUUUAUUCACCCAGCCUAAAAGUCCUGAUUAUCAGUUCUGGGUCCCUGGCAAUGACUGUUGGGUACAAACUGAGAAGCUGUGCUCUGAAGGUAGGGCUGGGCUUUUCACUGACCAUGUAGGUGGAUUAGUUGUGUGGGCAAAGUGUGUCAUCAUAGCCACUAUGUUUUCUGCACUUGGAGUAGACAGCACCUUGAUAGCUCAGUUGGUAGAGCAGAGGACUGUAGGCAGUUCCUCCUAUGAAGUGCUGUGGUUCCAAGGUCGCUGGUUCAACUCCCGCUCAAAGCAAGCCUUGUGUUCAUCUGUCAGCUCCUCCAAAAUUUAAAAACACAAACAAGAUAACUCCUACUUUAUUUUCCAACCAUCAAUUUUUUAUUCACCCAGCCUAAAAGUCCUGAUUAUCAGUUCUGGGUCCCUGGCAAUGACUGUUGGGUACAAACUGAGAAGCUGUGCUCUGAAGGUAGGGCUGGGCUUUUCACUGACCAUGUAGGUGGAUUAGUUGUGUGGGCAAAGUGUGUCAUCAUAGCCACUAUGUUUUCUGCACUUGGAGUAGACAGCACCUUGAUAGCUCAGUUGGUAGAGCAGAGGACUGUAGGCAGUUCCUCCUAUGAAGUGCUGUGGUUCCAAGGUCGCUGGUUCAACUCCCGCUCAAAGCAAGCCUUGUCUUCAUCUGUCAGCUCCUCCAAAAUUUAAAAACACAAACAAGAUAACUCCUACUUUAUUUUCCAACCGUCAAUUUUUUAUUCACCCAGCCUAAAAGUCCUGAUUAUCAGUUCUGGGUCCCUGGCAAUGACUGUUGGGUACAAACUGAGAAGCUGCGCUCUGAAGGUAGGGCUGGGCUUUUCACUGACCAUGUAGGUGGAUUAGUUGUGUGGGCAAAGUGUGUCAUCAUAGCCACUAUGUUUUCUGCACUUGGAGCAGACAGCACCUUGAUAGCUCAGUUGGUAGAGCAGAGGACUGUAGGCAGUUCCUCCUAUGAAGUGCUGUGGUUCCAGGGUCGCUCGUUCAACUCCCGCUCAAAGCAAGCCUUGUGUUCAUCUGUCAGCUCCUCCAAAAUUUAAAAACACAAACAAGAUAACUCCUACUUUAUUUUCCAACCAUCAAUUUUUUAUUCACCCAGCCUAAAAGUCCUGAUUAUCAGUUCUGGGUCCCUGGCAAUGACUGUUGGGUACAAACUGAGAAGCUGUGCUCUGAAGGUAGGGCUGGGCUUUUCACUGACCAUGUAGAUGGAUUAGUUGUGUGGGCAAAGUGUGUCAUCAUAGCCACUAUGUUUUCUGCACUUGGAGUACACAGCACCUUGAUAGCUCACUUGGUAGAGCAGAGGACUGUAGGCAGUUCCUCCUAUGCAGUGCUGUGGUUCCAAGGUCGCUGGUUCAACUCCCGCUCAAAGCAAGCCUUGUGUUCAUCUGUCAGCUCCUCCAAAAUUUAAAAACACAAACAAGAUAACUCCUAUUUUUCUUUCCAACCAUCAAUUUUUUAUUCACCCAGCCUAAAAGUCCUGAUUAUCAGUUCUGGGUCCCUGGCAAUGACUGUUGGGUACAAACUGAGAAGCUGCGCUCUGAAGGUAGGGCUGGGCUUUUCACUGACCAUGUAGGUGGAUUAGUUGUGUGGGCAAAGUGUGUCAUCAUAGCCACUAUGUUUUCUGCACUUGGAGUAGACAGCACCUUGAUAGCUCAGUUGGUAGAGCAGAGGACUGUAGGCAGUUCUUCCUAUGAAGUGCUGUGGUUCCAAGGUUGCUGGUUCAACUCCCGCUCAAAGCAAGCCUUGUGUUCAUCUGUCAGCUCCUCCAAAAUUUAAAAACACAAACAAGAUAACUCCUACUUUAUUUUCCAACCAUCAAUUUUUUAUUCACCCAGCCUAAAAGUCCUGAUUAUCAGUUCUGGGUCCCUGGCAAUGACUGUUGGGUACAAACUGAGAAGCUGUGCUCUGAAGGUAGGGCUGGGCUUUUCACUGACCAUGUAGGUGGAUUAGUUGUGUGGGCAAAGUGUGUCAUCAUAGCCACUAUGUUUUCUGCACUUGGAGUAGACAGCACCUUGAUAGCUCAGUUGGUAGAGCAGAGGACUGUAGGCAGUUCCUCCUAUGAAGUGCUGUCGUUCCAGGGUCGCUUGUUCAACUCCCGCUCAAAGCAAGCCUUGUCUUCAUCUGUCAGCUCCUCCAAAAUUUAAAAACACAAACAAGAUAACUGCUACUUUAUUUUCCAACCAUCAAUUUUUUAUUCACCCAGCCUAAAAGUCCUGAUUAUCAGUUCUGGGUCCCUGGCAAUGACUGUUGGGUACAAACUGAGAAGCUGUGCUCUGAAGGUAGGGCUGGGCUUUUCACUGACCAUGUAGGUGGAUUAGUUGUGUGGGCAAAGUGUGUCAUCAUAGCCACUAUGUUUUCUGCACUUGGAGUAGACAGCACCUUGAUAGCUCAGUUGGUAGAGCAGAGGACUGUAGGCAGUUCCUCCUAUGAAGUGCUGUCGUUCCAAGGUCGCUGGUUCAACUCCCGCUCAAAGCAAGCCUUGUGUUCAUCUGUCAGCUCCUCCAAAAUUUAAAAACACAAACAAGAUAACUCCUAUUUUUCUUUCCAACCAUCAAUUUUUUAUUCACCCAGCCUAAAAGUCCUGAUUAUCAGUUCUGGGUCCCUGGCAAUGACUGUUGGGUACAAACUGAGAAGCUGCGCUCUGAAGGUAGGGCUGGGCUUUUCACUGACCAUGUAGGUGGAUUAGUUGUGUGGGCAAAGUGUGUCAUCAUAGCCACUAUGUUUUCUGCACUUGGAGUAGACAGCACCUUGAUAGCUCAGUUGGUAGAGCAGAGGACUGUAGGCAGUUCUUCCUAUGAAGUGCUGUCGUUCCAGGGUCGCUGGUUCAACUCCCGCUCAAAGCAAGCCUUGUGUUCAUCUGUCAGCUCCUCCAAAAUUUAAAAACACAAACAAGAUAACUCCUACUUUAUUUUCCAACCAUCAAUUUUUUAUUCACCCAGCCUAAAAGUCCUGAUUAUCAGUUCUGGGUCCCUGGCAAUGACUGUUGGGUACAAACUGAGAAGCUGCGCUCUGAAGGUAGGGCUGGGCUUUUCACUGACCAUGUAGGUGGAUUAGUUGUGUGGGCAAAGUGUGUCAUCAUAGCCACUAUGUUUUCUGCACUUGGAGUAGACAGCACCUUGAUAGCUCAGUUGGUAGAGCAGAGGACUGUAGGCAGUUCUUCCUAUGAAGUGCUGUCGUUCCAGGGUCGCUGGUUCAACUCCCGCUCAAAGCAAGCCUUGUGUUCAUCUGUCAGCUCCUCCAAAAUUUAAAAACACAAACAAGAUAACUCCUACUUUAUUUUCCAACCAUCAAUUUUUUAUUCACCCAGCCUAAAAGUCCUGAUUAUCAGUUCUGGGUCCCUGGCAAUGACUGUUGGGUACAAACUGAGAAGCUGUGCUCUGAAGGUAGGGCUGGGCUUUUCACUGACCAUGUAGGUGGAUUAGUUGUGUGGGCAAAGUGUGUCAUCAUAGCCACUAUGUUUUCUGCACUUGGAGUAGACAGCACCUUGAUAGCUCAGUUGGUAGAGCAGAGGACUGUAGGCAGUUCCUCCUAUGAAGUGCUGUGGUUCCAAGGUUGCUGGUUCAACUCCCGCUCAAAGCAAGCCUUGUGUUCAUCUGUCAGCUCCUCCAAAAUUUAAAAACACAAACAAGAUAACUCCUACUUUAUUUUCCAACCAUCAAUUUUUUAUUCACCCAGCCUAAAAGUCCUGAUUAUCAGUUCUGGGUCCCUGGCAAUGACUGUUGGGUACAAACUGAGAAGCUGUGCUCUGAAGGUAGGGCUGGGCUUUUCACUGACCAUGUAGGUGGAUUAGUUGUGUGGGCAAAGUGUGUCAUCAUAGCCACUAUGUUUUCUGCACUUGGAGUAGACAGCACCUUGAUAGCUCAGUUGGUAGAGCAGAGGACUGUAGGCAGUUCCUCCUAUGAAGUGCUGUCGUUCCAGGGUCGCUUGUUCAACUCCCGCUCAAAGCAAGCCUUGUCUUCAUCUGUCAGCUCCUCCAAAAUUUAAAAACACAAACAAGAUAACUGCUACUUUAUUUUCCAACCAUCAAUUUUUUAUUCACCCAGCCUAAAAGUCCUGAUUAUCAGUUCUGGGUCCCUGGCAAUGACUGUUGGGUACAAACUGAGAAGCUGUGCUCUGAAGGUAGGGCUGGGCUUUUCACUGACCAUGUAGGUGGAUUAGUUGUGUGGGCAAAGUGUGUCAUCAUAGCCACUAUGUUUUCUGCACUUGGAGUAGACAGCACCUUGAUAGCUCAGUUGGUAGAGCAGAGGACUGUAGGCAGUUCCUCCUAUGAAGUGCUGUCGUUCCAAGGUCGCUGGUUCAACUCCCGCUCAAAGCAAGCCUUGUGUUCAUCUGUCAGCUCCUCCAAAAUUUAAAAACACAAACAAGAUAACUCCUAUUUUUCUUUCCAACCAUCAAUUUUUUAUUCACCCAGCCUAAAAGUCCUGAUUAUCAGUUCUGGGUCCCUGGCAAUGACUGUUGGGUACAAACUGAGAAGCUGCGCUCUGAAGGUAGGGCUGGGCUUUUCACUGACCAUGUAGGUGGAUUAGUUGUGUGGGCAAAGUGUGUCAUCAUAGCCACUAUGUUUUCUGCACUUGGAGUAGACUGCACCUUGAUAGCUCAGUUGGUAGAGCAGAGGACUGUAGGCAGUUCCUCCUAUGAAGUGCUGUGGUUCCAAGGUCGCUGGUUCAACUCCCGCUCAAAGCAAGCCUUGUCUUCAUCUGUCAGCUCCUCCAAAAUUUAAAAACACAAACAAGAUAACUCCUACUUUAUUUUCCAACCAUCAAUUUUUUAUUCACCCAGCCUAAAAGUCCUGAUUAUCAGUUCUGGGUCCCUGGCAAUGACUGUUGGGUACAAACUGAGAAGCUGUGCUCUGAAGGUAGGGCUGGGCUUUUCACUGACCAUGUAGGUGGAUUAGUUGUGUGGGCAAAGUGUGUCAUCAUAGCCACUAUGUUUUCUGCACUUGGAGUAGACAGCACCUUGAUAGCUCAGUUGGUAGAGCAGAGGACUGUAGGCAGUUCCUCCUAUGAAGUGCUGUCGUUCCAAGGUCGCUGGUUCAACUCCCGCUCAAAGCAAGCCUUGUGUUCAUCUGUCAGCUCCUCCAAAAUUUAAAAACACAAACAAGAUAACUCCUAUUUUUCUUUCCAACCAUCAAUUUUUUAUUCACCCAGCCUAAAAGUCCUGAUUAUCAGUUCUGGGUCCCUGGCAAUGACUGUUGGGUACAAACUGAGAAGCUGCGCUCUGAAGGUAGGGCUGGGCUUUUCACUGACCAUGUAGGUGGAUUAGUUGUGUGGGCAAAGUGUGUCAUCAUAGCCACUAUGUUUUCUGCACUUGGAGUAGACAGCACCUUGAUAGCUCAGUUGGUAGAGCAGAGGACUGUAGGCAGUUCUUCCUAUGAAGUGCUGUCGUUCCAGGGUCGCUGGUUCAACUCCCGCUCAAAGCAAGCCUUGUGUUCAUCUGUCAGCUCCUCCAAAAUUUAAAAACACAAACAAGAUAACUCCUACUUUAUUUUCCAACCAUCAAUUUUUUAUUCACCCAGCCUAAAAGUCCUGAUUAUCAGUUCUGGGUCCCUGGCAAUGACUGUUGGGUACAAACUGAGAAGCUGUGCUCUGAAGGUAGGGCUGGGCUUUUCACUGACCAUGUAGGUGGAUUAGUUGUGUGGGCAAAGUGUGUCAUCAUAGCCACUAUGUUUUCUGCACUUGGAGUAGACAGCACCUUGAUAGCUCAGUUGGUAGAGCAGAGUAAUGUAGGCAGUUCCUCCUAUGAAGUGCUGUGGUUCCAAGGUCGCUGGUUCAACUCCCGCUCAAAGCAAGCCUUGUGUUCAUCUGUCAGCUCCUCCAAAAUUUAAAAACACAAACAAGAUAACUCCUACUUUAUUUUCCAACCAUCAAUUUUUUAUUCACCCAGCCUAAAAGUCCUGAUUAUCAGUUCUGGGUCUGGCAAUGACUGUUGGGUACAAACUGAGAAGCUGUGCUCUGAAGGUAGGGCUGGGCUUUUCACUGACCAUGUAGGUGGAUUAGUUGUGUGGGCAAAGUGUGUCAUCAUAGCCACUAUGUUUUCUGCACUUGGAGUAGACUGCACCUUGAUAGCUCAGUUGGUAGAGCAGAGGACUGUAGGCAGUUCCUCCUAUGAAGUGCUGUGGUUCCAAGGUCGCUGGUUCAACUCCCGCUCAAAGCAAGCCUUGUCUUCAUCUGUCAGCUCCUCCAAAAUUUAAAAACACAAACAAGAUAACUCCUACUUUAUUUUCCAACCAUCAAUUUUUUAUUCACCCAGCCUAAAAGUCCUGAUUAUCAGUUCUGGGUCCCUGGCAAUGACUGUUGGGUACAAACUGAGAAGCUGUGCUCUGAAGGUAGGGCUGGGCUUUUUCACUGACCAUGUAGGUGGAUUAGUUGUGUGGGCAAAGUGUGUCAUCAUAGCCACUAUGUUUUCUGCACUUGGAGUAGACAGCACCCUGAUAGCUCAGUUGGUAGAACAGAGGACUCUAGACAGUUCCUCCUAUGAAGUGCUGUGGUUCCAAGGUCGCUGGUUCAACUCCCGCUCAAAGCAAGCCUUGUGUUCAUCUGUCAGCUCCUCCAAAAUUUAAAAACACAAACAAGAUAACUCCUACUUUAUUUUCCAACCAUCAAUUUUUUAUUCACCCAGCCUAAAAGUCCUGAUUAUCAGUUCUGGGUCCCUGGCAAUGACUGUUGGGUACAAACUGAGAAGCUGUGCUCUGAAGGUAGGGCUGGGCUUUUCACUGACCAUGUAGGUGGAUUAGUUGUGUGGGCAAAGUGUGUCAUCAUAGCCACUAUGUUUUCUGCACUUGGAGUAGACAGCACCUUGAUAGCUCAGUUGGUAGAGCAGAGGACUGUAGGCAGUUCCUCCUAUGAAGUGCUGUGGUUCCAAGGUCGCUGGUUCAACUCCCGCUCAAAGCAAGCCUUGUCUUCAUCUGUCAGCUCCUCCAAAAUUUAAAAACACAAACAAGAUAACUCCUACUUUAUUUUCCAACCAUCAAUUUUUUAUUCACCCAGCCUAAAAGUCCUGAUUAUCAGUUCUGGGUCCCUGGCAAUGACUGUUGGGUACAAACUGAGAAGCUGUGCUCUGAAGGUAGGGCUGGGCUUUUCACUGACCAUGUAGGUGGAUUAGUUGUGUGGGCAAAGUGUGUCAUCAUAGCCACUAUGUUUUCUGCACUUGGAGUAGACAGCACCUUGAUAGCUCAGUUGGUAGAGCAGAGGACUGUAGGCAGUUCCUCCUAUGAAGUGCUGUGGUUCCAAGGUUGCUGGUUCAACUCCCGCUCAAAGCAAGCCUUGUGUUCAUCUGUCAGCUCCUCCAAAAUUUAAAAACACAAACAAGAUAACUCCUACUUUAUUUUCCAACCAUCAAUUUUUUAUUCACCCAGCCUAAAAGUCCUGAUUAUCAGUUCUGGGUCCCUGGCAAUGACUGUUGGGUACAAACUGAGAAGCUGUGCUCUGAAGGUAGGGCUGGGCUUUUCACUGACCAUGUAGGUGGAUUAGUUGUGUGGGCAAAGUGUGUCAUCAUAGCCACUAUGUUUUCUGCACUUGGAGUAGACAGCACCUUGAUAGCUCAGUUGGUAGAGCAGAGGACUGUAGGCAGUUCCUCCUAUGAAGUGCUGUCGUUCCAGGGUCGCUUGUUCAACUCCCGCUCAAAGCAAGCCUUGUCUUCAUCUGUCAGCUCCUCCAAAAUUUAAAAACACAAACAAGAUAACUGCUACUUUAUUUUCCAACCAUCAAUUUUUUAUUCACCCAGCCUAAAAGUCCUGAUUAUCAGUUCUGGGUCCCUGGCAAUGACUGUUGGGUACAAACUGAGAAGCUGUGCUCUGAAGGUAGGGCUGGGCUUUUCACUGACCAUGUAGGUGGAUUAGUUGUGUGGGCAAAGUGUGUCAUCAUAGCCACUAUGUUUUCUGCACUUGGAGUAGACAGCACCUUGAUAGCUCAGUUGGUAGAGCAGAGGACUGUAGGCAGUUCCUCCUAUGAAGUGCUGUCGUUCCAAGGUCGCUGGUUCAACUCCCGCUCAAAGCAAGCCUUGUGUUCAUCUGUCAGCUCCUCCAAAAUUUAAAAACACAAACAAGAUAACUCCUACUUUAUUUUCCAACCGUCAAUUUUUUAUUCACCCAGCCUAAAAGUCCUGAUUAUCAGUUCUGGGUCCCUGGCAAUGACUGUUGGGUACAAACUGAGAAGCUGUGCUCUGAAGGUAGGGCUGGGCUUUUCACUGACCAUGUUGGUGGAUUAGUUGUGUGGGCAAAGUGUGUCAUCAUAGCCACUAUGUUUUCUGCACUUGGAGUAGACAGCUCCUUGAUAGCUCAGUUGGUAGAGCACAGGACUGUAGGCAGUUCCUCCUAUGAAGUGCUGUGGUUCCAAGGUCGCUGGUUCAACUCCCGCUCAAAGCAAGCCUUGUCUUCAUCUGUCAGCUCCUCCAAAAUUUAAAAACACAAACAAGAUAACUCCUACUUUAUUUUCCAACCAUCAAUUUUUUAUUCACCCAGCCUAAAAGUCCUGAUUAUCAGUUCUGGGUCCCUGGCAAUGACUGUUGGGUACAAACUGAGAAGCUGUGCUCUGAAGGUAGGGCUGGGCUUUUCACUGACCAUGUAGGUGGAUUAGUUGUGUGGGCAAAGUGUGUCAUCAUAGCCACUAUGUUUUCUGCACUUGGAGUAGACAGCACCUUGAUAGCUCAGUUGGUAGAGCAGAGUAAUGUAGGCAGUUCCUCCUAUGAAGUGCUGUGGUUCCAAGGUCGCUGGUUCAACUCCCGCUCAAAGCAAGCCUUGUGUUCAUCUGUCAGCUCCUCCAAAAUUUAAAAACACAAACAAGAUAACUCCUACUUUAUUUUCCAACCAUCAAUUUUUUAUUCACCCAGCCUAAAAGUCCUGAUUAUCAGUUCUGGGUCUGGCAAUGACUGUUGGGUACAAACUGAGAAGCUGUGCUCUGAAGGUAGGGCUGGGCUUUUCACUGACCAUGUAGGUGGAUUAGUUGUGUGGGCAAAGUGUGUCAUCAUAGCCACUAUGUUUUCUGCACUUGGAGUAGACUGCACCUUGAUAGCUCAGUUGGUAGAGCAGAGGACUGUAGGCAGUUCCUCCUAUGAAGUGCUGUGGUUCCAAGGUCGCUGGUUCAACUCCCGCUCAAAGCAAGCCUUGUCUUCAUCUGUCAGCUCCUCCAAAAUUUAAAAACACAAACAAGAUAACUCCUACUUUAUUUUCCAACCAUCAAUUUUUUAUUCACCCAGCCUAAAAGUCCUGAUUAUCAGUUCUGGGUCCCUGGCAAUGACUGUUGGGUACAAACUGAGAAGCUGUGCUCUGAAGGUAGGGCUGGGCUUUUCACUGACCAUGUAGGUGGAUUAGUUGUGUGGGCAAAGUGUGUCAUCAUAGCCACUAUGUUUUCUGCACUUGGAGUAGACAGCACCCUGAUAGCUCAGUUGGUAGAACAGAGGACUCUAGACAGUUCCUCCUAUGAAGUGCUGUGGUUCCAAGGUCGCUGGUUCAACUCCCGCUCAAAGCAAGCCUUGUGUUCAUCUGUCAGCUCCUCCAAAAUUUAAAAACACAAACAAGAUAACUCCUACUUUAUUUUCCAACCAUCAAUUUUUUAUUCACCCAGCCUAAAAGUCCUGAUUAUCAGUUCUGGGUCCCUGGCAAUGACUGUUGGGUACAAACUGAGAAGCUGUGCUCUGAAGGUAGGGCUGGGCUUUUCACUGACCAUGUAGGUGGAUUAGUUGUGUGGGCAAAGUGUGUCAUCAUAGCCACUAUGUUUUCUGCACUUGGAGUAGACAGCACCUUGAUAGCUCAGUUGGUAGAGCAGAGGACUGUAGGCAGUUCCUCCUAUGAAGUGCUGUGGUUCCAAGGUCGCUGGUUCAACUCCCGCUCAAAGCAAGCCUUGUCUUCAUCUGUCAGCUCCUCCAAAAUUUAAAAACACAAACAAGAUAACUCCUACUUUAUUUUCCAACCAUCAAUUUUUUAUUCACCCAGCCUAAAAGUCCUAAUUAUCAGUUCUGGGUCCCUGGCAAUGACUGUUGGGUACAAACUGAGAAGCUGUGCUCUGAAGGUAGGGCUGGGCUUUUCACUGACCAUGUAGGUGGAUUAGUUGUGUGGGCAAAGUGUGUCAUCAUAGCCACUAUGUUUUCUGCACUUGGAGUAGACAGCACCCUGAUAGCUCAGUUGGUAGAACAGAGGACUGUAGGCAGUUCCUCCUAUGAAGUGCUGUGGUUCCAAGGUCGCUGGUUCAACUCCCGCUCAAAGCAAGCCUUGUCUUCAUCUGUCAGCUCCUCCAAAAUUUUAAAAACACAAACAAGAUAACUCCUACUUUAUUUUCCAACCGUCAAUUUUUUAUUCACCCAGCCUAAAAGUCCUGAUUAUCAGUUCUGGGUCCCUGGCAAUGACUGUUGGGUACAAACUGAGAAGCUGUGCUCUGAAGGUAGGGCUGGGCUUUUCACUGACCAUGUAGGUGGAUUAGUUGUGUGGGCAAAGUGUGUCAUCAUAGCCACUAUGUUUUCUGCACUUGGAGUAGACAGCACCUUGAUAGCUCAGUUGGUAGAGCAGAGGACUGUAGGCAGUUCCUCCUAUGAAGUGCUGUGGUUCCAACGUCGCUGGUUCAACUCCCGCUCAAAGCAAGCCUUGUCUUCAUCUGUCAGCUCCUCCAAAAUUUAAAAACACAAACAAGAUAACUCCUACUUUAUUUUCCAACCGUCAAUUUUUUGUUCACCCAGCCUAAAAGUCCUGAUUAUCAGUUCUGGGUCCCUGGCAAUGACUGUUGGGUACAAACUGAGAAGCUGUGCUCUGAAGGUAGGGCUGGGCUUUUCACUGACCAUGUAGGUGGAUUAGUUGUGUGGGCAAAGUGUGUCAUCAUAGCCACUAUGUUUUCUGCACUUGGAGUAGACAGCACCUUGAUAGCUCAGUUGGUAGAGCAGAGGACUGUAGGCAGUUCCUCCUAUGAAGUGCUGUCGUUCCAGGGUCGCUGGUUCAACUCCCGCUCAAAGCAAGCCUUGUGUUCAUCUGUCAGCUCCUCCAAAAUUUAAAAACACAAACAAGAUAACUCCUACUUUAUUUUCCAACCAUCAAUUUUUUAUUCACCCAGCCUAAAAGUCCUGAUUAUCAGUUCUGGGUCCCUGGCAAUGACUGUUGGGUACAAACUGAGAAGCUGCGCUCUGAAGGUAGGGCUGGGCUUUUCACUGACCAUGUAGGUGGAUUAGUUGUGUGGGCAAAGUGUGUCAUCAUAGCCACUAUGUUUUCUGCACUUGGAGUAGACAGCACCUUGAUAGCUCAGUUGGUAGAGCAGAGGACUGUAGGCAGUUCCUCCAAUGAAGUGCUGUCGUUCCAGGGUCGCUGGUUCAACUCCCGCUCAAAGCAAGCCUUGUCUUCAUCUGUCAGCUCCUCCAAAAUUUAAAAACACAAACAAGAUAACUCCUACUUUAUUUUCCAACCAUCAAUUUUUUAUUCACCCAGCCUAAAAGUCCUGAUUAUCAGUUCUGGGUCCCUGGCAAUGACUGUUGGGUACAAACUGAGAAGCUGUGCUCUGAAGGUAGGGCUGGGCUUUUCACUGACCAUGUAGGUGGAUUAGUUGUGUGGGCAAAGUGUGUCAUCAUAGCCACUAUGUUUUCUGCACUUGGAGUAGACAGCACCUUGAUAGCUCAGUUGGUAGAGCAGAGGACUGUAGGCAGUUCCUCCUAUCAAGUGCUCUCGUUCCAACGUCGCUGGUUCAACUCCUGCUCAAAGCAAGCCUUGUCUUCAUCUGUCAGCUCCUCCAAAAUUUAAAAACACAAACAAGAUAACUCCUACUUUAUUUUCCAACCAUCAAUUUUUUAUUCACCCAGCCUAAAAGUCCUGAUUAUCAGUUCUGGGUCCCUGGCAAUGACUGUUGGGUACAAACUGAGAAGCUGUGCUCUGAAGGUAGGGCUGGGCUUUUCACUGACCAUGUAGGUGGAUUAGUUGUGUGGGCAAAGUGUGUCAUCAUAGCCACUAUGUUUUCUGCACUUGGAGUAGACAGCACCUUGAUAGCUCAGUUGGUAGAGCAGAGGACUGUAGGCAGUUCCUCCUAUGAAGUGCUGUCGUUCCAAGGUCGCUAGUUCAACUCCCGCUCAAAGCAAGCCUUGUGUUCAUCUGUCAGCUCCUCCAAAAUUUAAAAACACAAACAAGAUAACUCCUACUUUAUUUUCCAACCAUCAAUUUUUUAUUCACCCAGCCUAAAAGUCCUGAUUAUCAGUUCUGGGUCCCUGGCAAUGACUGUUGGGUACAAACUGAGAAGCUGUGCUCUGAAGGUAGGGCUGGGCUUUUCACUGACCAUGUAGGUGGAUUAGUUGUGUGGGCAAAGUGUGUCAUCAUAGCCACUAUGUUUUCUGCACUUGGAGUAGACAGCACCUUGAUAGCUCAGUUGGUAGAGCAGAGGACUGUAGGCAGUUCCUCCUAUGAAGUGCUGUCGUUCCAGGGUCGCUUGUUCAACUCCCGCUCAAAGCAAGCCUUGUCUUAAUCUGUCAGCUCCUCCAAAAUUUAAAAACACAAACAAGAUAACUGCUACUUUAUUUUCCAACCAUCAAUUUUUUAUUCACCCAGCCUAAAAGUCCUGAUUAUCAGUUCUGGGUCCCUGGCAAUGACUGUUGGGUACAAACUGAGAAGCUGCGCUCUGAAGGUAGGGCUGGGCUUUUCACUGACCAUGUAGGUGGAUUAGUUGUGUGGGCAAAGUGUGUCAUCAUAGCCACUAUGUUUUCUGCACUUGGAGUAGACAGCACCUUGAUAGCUCAGUUGGUAGAGCAGAGGACUGUAGGCAGUUCCUCCUAUGAAGUGCUGUGGUUCCAACGUCGCUGGUUCAACUCCCGCUCAAAGCAAGCCUUGUCUUCAUCUGUCAGCUCCUCCAAAAUUUAAAAACACAAACAAGAUAACUCCUACUUUAUUUUCCAACCGUCAAUUUUUUGUUCACCCAGCCUAAAAGUCCUGAUUAUCAGUUCUGGGUCCCUGGCAAUGACUGUUGGGUACAAACUGAGAAGUUGUGCUCUGAAGGUAGGGCUGGGCUUUUCACUGACCAUGUAGGUGGAUUAGUUGUGUGGGCAAAGUGUGUCAUCAUAGCCACUAUGUUUUCUGCACUUGGAGUAGACAGCACCUUGAUAGCUCAGUUGGUAGAGCAGAGGACUGUAGGCAGUUCCUCCUAUGAAGUGCUGUCGUUCCAGGGUCGCUGGUUCAACUCCCGCUCAAAGCAAGCCUUGUGUUCAUCUGUCAGCUCCUCCAAAAUUUAAAAACACAAACAAGAUAACUCCUACUUUAUUUUCCAACCAUCAAUUUUUUAUUCACCCAGCCUAAAAGUCCUGAUUAUCAGUUCUGGGUCCCUGGCAAUGACUGUUGGGUACAAACUGAGAAGCUGCGCUCUGAAGGUAGGGCUGGGCUUUUCACUGACCAUGUAGGUGGAUUAGUUGUGUGGGCAAAGUGUGUCAUCAUAGCCACUAUGUUUUCUGCACUUGGAGUAGACAGCACCUUGAUAGCUCAGUUGGUAGAGCAGAGGACUCUAGACAGUUCCUCCUAUGAAGUGCUGUGGUUCCAAGGUCGCUGGUUCAACUCCCGCUCAAAGCAAGCCUUGUGUUCAUCUGUCAGCUCCUCCAAAAUUUAAAAACACAAACAAGAUAACUCCUACUUUAUUUUCCAACCAUCAAUUUUUUAUUCACCCAGCCUAAAAGUCCUGAUUAUCAGUUCUGGGUCCCUGGCAAUGACUGUUGGGUACAAACUGAGAAGCUGUGCUCUGAAGGUAGGGCUGGGCUUUUCACUGACCAUGUAGGUGGAUUAGUUGUGUGGGCAAAGUGUGUCAUCAUAGCCACUAUGUUUUCUGCACUUGGAGUAGACAGCACCUUGAUAGCUCAGUUGGUAGAGCAGAGGACUGUAGGCAGUUCCUCCUAUGAAGUGCUGUGGUUCCAAGGUCGCUGGUUCAACUCCCGCUCAAAGCAAGCCUUGUCUUCAUCUGUCAGCUCCUCCAAAAUUUAAAAACACAAACAAGAUAACUCCUACUUUAUUUUCCAACCAUCAAUUUUUUAUUCACCCAGCCUAAAAGUCCUGAUUAUCAGUUCUGGGUCCCUGGCAAUGACUGUUGGGUACAAACUGAGAAGCUGUGCUCUGAAGGUAGGGCUGGGCUUUUCACUGACCAUGUAGGUGGAUUAGUUGUGUGGGCAAAGUGUGUCAUCAUAGCCACUAUGUUUUCUGCACUUGGAGUAGACAGCACCCUGAUAGCUCAGUUGGUAGAACAGAGGACUCUAGGCAGUUCCUCCUAUGAAGUGCUGUGGUUCCAAGGUCGCUGGUUCAACUCCCGCUCAAAGCAAGCCUUGUCUUCAUCUGUCAGCUCCUCCAAAAUUUAAAAACACAAACAAGAUAACUCCUACUUUAUUUUCCAACCGUCAAUUUUUUAUUCACCCAGCCUAAAAGUCCUGAUUAUCAGUUCUGGGUCCCUGGCAAUGACUGUUGGGUACAAACUGAGAAGCUGUGCUCUGAAGGUAGGGCUGGGCUUUUCACUGACCAUGUAGGUGGAUUAGUUGUGUGGGCAAAGUGUGUCAUCAUAGCCACUAUGUUUUCUGCACUUGGAGUAGACAGCACCUUGAUAGCUCAGUUGGUAGAGCAGAGGACUGUAGGCAGUUCCUCCUAUGAAGUGCUGUGGUUCCAACGUCGCUGGUUCAACUCCCGCUCAAAGCAAGCCUUGUCUUCAUCUGUCAGCUCCUCCAAAAUUUAAAAACACAAACAAGAUAACUCCUACUUUAUUUUCCAACCGUCAAUUUUUUGUUCACCCAGCCUAAAAGUCCUGAUUAUCAGUUCUGGGUCCCUGGCAAUGACUGUUGGGUACAAACUGAGAAGCUGUGCUCUGAAGGUAGGGCUGGGCUUUUCACUGACCAUGUAGGUGGAUUAGUUGUGUGGGCAAAGUGUGUCAUCAUAGCCACUAUGUUUUCUGCACUUGGAGUAGACAGCACCUUGAUAGCUCAGUUGGUAGAGCAGAGGACUGUAGGCAGUUCCUCCUAUGAAGUGCUGUCGUUCCAGGGUCGCUGGUUCAACUCCCGCUCAAAGCAAGCCUUGUGUUCAUCUGUCAGCUCCUCCAAAAUUUAAAAACACAAACAAGAUAACUCCUACUUUAUUUUCCAACCAUCAAUUUUUUAUUCACCCAGCCUAAAAGUCCUGAUUAUCAGUUCUGGGUCCCUGGCAAUGACUGUUGGGUACAAACUGAGAAGCUGCGCUCUGAAGGUAGGGCUGGGCUUUUCACUGACCAUGUAGGUGGAUUAGUUGUGUGGGCAAAGUGUGUCAUCAUAGCCACUAUGUUUUCUGCACUUGGAGUAGACAGCACCUUGAUAGCUCAGUUGGUAGAGCAGAGGACUGUAGGCAGUUCCUCCAAUGAAGUGCUGUCGUUCCAGGGUCGCUGGUUCAACUCCCGCUCAAAGCAAGCCUUGUCUUCAUCUGUCAGCUCCUCCAAAAUUUAAAAACACAAACAAGAUAACUCCUACUUUAUUUUCCAACCAUCAAUUUUUUAUUCACCCAGCCUAAAAGUCCUGAAUAUCAGUUCUGGGUCCCUGGCAAUGACUGUUGGGUACAAACUGAGAAGCUGUGCUCUGAAGGUAGGGCUGGGCUUUUCACUGACCAUGUUGGUGGAUUAGUUGUGUGGGCAAAGUGUGUCAUCAUAGCCACUAUGUUUUCUGCACUUGGAGUAGACAGCACCUUGAUAGCUCAGUUGGUAGAGCAGAGGACUGUAGGCAGUUCCUCCUAUCAAGUGCUCUCGUUCCAACGUAGCUGGUUCAACUCCUGCUCAAAGCAAGCCUUGUCUUCAUCUGUCAGCUCCUCCAAAAUUUAAAAACACAAACAAGAUAACUCCUACUUUAUUUUCCAACCAUCAAUUUUUUAUUCACCCAGCCUAAAAGUCCUGAUUAUCAGUUCUGGGUCCCUGGCAAUGACUGUUGGGUACAAACUGAGAAGCUGUGCUCUGAAGGUAGGGCUGGGCUUUUCACUGACCAUGUAGGUGGAUUAGUUGUGUGGGCAAAGUGUGUCAUCAUAGCCACUAUGUUUUCUGCACUUGGAGUAGACAGCACCUUGAUAGCUCAGUUGGUAGAGCAGAGGACUGUAGGCAGUUCCUCCUAUGAAGUGCUGUGGUUCCAACGUCGCUGGUUCAACUCCCGCUCAAAGCAAGCCUUGUCUUCAUCUGUCAGCUCCUCCAAAAUUUAAAAACACAAACAAGAUAACUCCUACUUUAUUUUCCAACCAUCAAUUUUUUAUUCACCCAGCCUAAAAGUCCUGAUUAUCAGUUCUGGGUCCCUGGCAAUGACUGUUGGGUACAAACUGAGAAGCUGUGCUCUGAAGGUAGGGCUGGGCUUUUCACUGACCAUGUAGGUGGAUUAGUUGUGUGGGCAAAGUGUGUCAUCAUAGCCACUAUGUUUUCUGCACUUGGAGUAGACAGCACCCUGAUAGCUCAGUUGGUAGAACAGAGGACUCUAGGCAGUUCCUCCUAUGAAGUGCUGUGGUUCCAAGGUCGCUGGUUCAACUCCCGCUCAAAGCAAGCCUUGUCUUCAUCUGUCAGCUCCUCCAAAAUUUAAAAACACAAACAAGAUAACUCCUACUUUAUUUUCCAACCGUCAAUUUUUUAUUCACCCAGCCUAAAAGUCCUGAUUAUCAGUUCUGGGUCCCUGGCAAUGACUGUUGGGUACAAACUGAGAAGCUGUGCUCUGAAGGUAGGGCUGGGCUUUUCACUGACCAUGUAGGUGGAUUAGUUGUGUGGGCAAAGUGUGUCAUCAUAGCCACUAUGUUUUCUGCACUUGGAGUAGACAGCACCUUGAUAGCUCAGUUGGUAGAGCAGAGGACUGUAGGCAGUUCCUCCAAUGAAGUGCUGUGGUUCCAACGUCGCUGGUUCAACUCCCGCUCAAAGCAAGCCUUGUGUUCAUCUGUCAGCUCCUCCAAAAUUUAAAAACACAAACAAGAUAACUCCUACUUUAUUUUCCAACUGUCAAUUUUUUGUUCACCCAGCCUAAAAGUCCUGAUUAUCAGUUCUGGGUCCCUGGCAAUGACUGUUGGGUACAAACUGAGAAGCUGUGCUCUGAAGGUAGGGCUGGGCUUUUCACUGACCAUGUAGGUGGAUUAGUUGUGUGGGCAAAGUGUGUCAUCAUAGCCACUAUGUUUUCUGCACUUGGAGUAGACAGCACCUUGAUAGCUCAGUUGGUAGAGCAGAGGACUGUAGGCAGUUCCUCCUAUGAAGUGCUGUGGUUCCAACGUCGCUGGUUCAACUCCCGCUCAAAGCAAGCCUUGUGUUCAUCUGUCAGCUCCUCCAAAAUUUAAAAACACAAACAAGAUAACUCCUACUUUAUUUUCCAACCAUCAAUUUUUUAUUCACCCAGCCUAAAAGUCCUGAUUAUCAGUUCUGGGUCCCUGGCAAUGACUGUUGGGUACAAACUGAGAAGCUGCGCUCUGAAGGUAGGGCUGGGCUUUUCACUGACCAUGUAGGUGGAUUAGUUGUGUGGGCAAAGUGUGUCAUCAUAGCCACUAUGUUUUCUGCACUUGGAGUAGACAGCACCUUGAUAGCUCAGUUGGUAGAGCAGAGGACUGUAGGCAGUUCCUCCUAUGAAGUGCUGUGGUUCCAACGUCGCUGGUUCAACUCCCGCUCAAAGCAAGCCUUGUCUUCAUCUGUCAGCUCCUCCAAAAUUUAAAAACACAAACAAGAUAACUCCUACUUUAUUUUCCAACCGUCAAUUUUUUGUUCACCCAGCCUAAAAGUCCUGAUUAUCAGUUCUGGGUCCCUGGCAAUGACUGUUGGGUACAAACUGAGAAGCUGUGCUCUGAAGGUAGGGCUGGGCUUUUCACUGACCAUGUAGGUGGAUUAGUUGUGUGGGCAAAGUGUGUCAUCAUAGCCACUAUGUUUUCUGCACUUGGAGUAGACAGCACCUUGAUAGCUCAGUUGGUAGAGCAGAGGACUGUAGGCAGUUCCUCCUAUGAAGUGCUGUCGUUCCAGGGUCGCUGGUUCAACUCCCGCUCAAAGCAAGCCUUGUGUUCAUCUGUCAGCUCCUCCAAAAUUUAAAAACACAAACAAGAUAACUCCUACUUUAUUUUCCAACCAUCAAUUUUUUAUUCACCCAGCCUAAAAGUCCUGAUUAUCAGUUCUGGGUCCCUGGCAAUGACUGUUGGGUACAAACUGAGAAGCUGCGCUCUGAAGGUAGGGCUGGGCUUUUCACUGACCAUGUAGGUGGAUUAGUUGUGUGGGCAAAGUGUGUCAUCAUAGCCACUAUGUUUUCUGCACUUGGAGUAGACACAACCUUGAUAGCUCAGUUGGUAGAGCAGAGGACUGUAGGCAGUUCCUCCAAUGAAGUGCUGUCGUUCCAGGGUCGCUGGUUCAACUCCCGCUCAAAGCAAGCCUUGUCUUCAUCUGUCAGCUCCUCCAAAAUUUAAAAACACAAACAAGAUAACUCCUACUUUAUUUUCCAACCAUCAAUUUUUUAUUCACCCAGCCUAAAAGUCCUGAAUAUCAGUUCUGGGUCCCUGGCAAUGACUGUUGGGUACAAACUGAGAAGCUGUGCUCUGAAGGUAGGGCUGGGCUUUUCACUGACCAUGUUGGUGGAUUAGUUGUGUGGGCAAAGUGUGUCAUCAUAGCCACUAUGUUUUCUGCACUUGGAGUAGACAGCACCUUGAUAGCUCAGUUGGUAGAGCAGAGGACUGUAGGCAGUUCCUCCUAUCAAGUGCUCUCGUUCCAACGUCGCUGGUUCAACUCCUGCUCAAAGCAAGCCUUGUCUUCAUCUGUCAGCUCCUCCAAAAUUUAAAAACACAAACAAGAUAACUCCUACUUUAUUUUCCAACCAUCAAUUUUUUAUUCACCCAGCCUAAAAGUCCUGAUUAUCAGUUCUGGGUCCCUGGCAAUGACUGUUGGGUACAAACUGAGAAGCUGUGCUCUGAAGGUAGGGCUGGGCUUUUCACUGACCAUGUUGGUGGAUUAGUUGUGUGGGCAAAGUGUGUCAUCAUAGCCACUAUGUUUUCUGCACUUGGAGUAGACAGCACCUUGAUAGCUCAGUUGGUAGAGCAGAGGACUGUAGGCAGUUCCUCCUAUGAAGUGCUGUGGUUCCAAGGUCGCUGGUUCAACUCCCGCUCAAAGCAAGCCUUGUCUUCAUCUGUCAGCUCCUCCAAAAUUUAAAAACACAAACAAGAUAACUCCUACUUUAUUUUCCAACCAUCAAUUUUUUAUUCACCCAGCCUAAAAGUCCUGAUUAUCAGUUCUGGGUCCCUGGCAAUGACUGUUGGGUACAAACUGAGAAGCUGUGCUCUGAAGGUAGGGCUGGGCUUUUCACUGACCAUGUAGGUGGAUUAGUUGUGUGGGCAAAGUGUGUCAUCAUAGCCACUAUGUUUUCUGCACUUGGAGUAGACAGCACCCUGAUAGCUCAGUUGGUAGAACAGAGGACUCUAGGCAGUUCCUCCUAUGAAGUGCUGUGGUUCCAAGGUCGCUGGUUCAACUCCCGCUCAAAGCAAGCCUUGUCUUCAUCUGUCAGCUCCUCCAAAAUUUAAAAACACAAACAAGAUAACUCCUACUUUAUUUUCCAACCGUCAAUUUUUUAUUCACCCAGCCUAAAAGUCCUGAUUAUCAGUUCUGGGUCCCUGGCAAUGACUGUUGGGUACAAACUGAGAAGCUGUGCUCUGAAGGUAGGGCUGGGCUUUUCACUGACCAUGUAGGUGGAUUAGUUGUGUGGGCAAAGUGUGUCAUCAUAGCCACUAUGUUUUCUGCACUUGGAGUAGACAGCACCUUGAUAGCUCAGUUGGUAGAGCAGAGGACUGUAGGCAGUUCCUCCUAUGAAGUGCUGUGGUUCCAACGUCGCUGGUUCAACUCCCGCUCAAAGCAAGCCUUGUCUUCAUCUGUCAGCUCCUCCAAAAUUUAAAAACACAAACAAGAUAACUCCUACUUUAUUUUCCAACCGUCAAUUUUUUGUUCACCCAGCCUAAAAGUCCUGAUUAUCAGUUCUGGGUCCCUGGCAAUGACUGUUGGGUACAAACUGAGAAGCUGUGCUCUGAAGGUAGGGCUGGGCUUUUCACUGACCAUGUAGGUGGAUUAGUUGUGUGGGCAAAGUGUGUCAUCAUAGCCACUAUGUUUUCUGCACUUGGAGUAGACAGCACCUUGAUAGCUCAGUUGGUAGAGCAGAGGACUGUAGGCAGUUCCUCCUAUGAAGUGCUGUCGUUCCAGGGUCGCUGGUUCAACUCCCGCUCAAAGCAAGCCUUGUGUUCAUCUGUCAGCUCCUCCAAAAUUUAAAAACACAAACAAGAUAACUCCUACUUUAUUUUCCAACCAUCAAUUUUUUAUUCACCCAGCCUAAAAGUCCUGAUUAUCAGUUCUGGGUCCCUGGCAAUGACUGUUGGGUACAAACUGAGAAGCUGCGCUCUGAAGGUAGGGCUGGGCUUUUCACUGACCAUGUAGGUGGAUUAGUUGUGUGGGCAAAGUGUGUCAUCAUAGCCACUAUGUUUUCUGCACUUGGAGUAGACAGCACCUUGAUAGCCCAGUUGGUAGAGCAGAGGACUGUAGGCAGUUCCUCCAAUGAAGUGCUGUCGUUCCAGGGUCGCUGGUUCAACUCCCGCUCAAAGCAAGCCUUGUCUUCAUCUGUCAGCUCCUCCAAAAUUUAAAAACACAAACAAGAUAACUCCUACUUUAUUUUCCAACCAUCAAUUUUUUAUUCACCCAGCCUAAAAGUCCUGAUUAUCAGUUCUGGGUCCCUGGCAAUGACUGUUGGGUACAAACUGAGAAGCUGUGCUCUGAAGGUAGGGCUGGGCUUUUCACUGACCAUGUUGGUGGAUUAGUUGUGUGGGCAAAGUGUGUCAUCAUAGCCACUAUGUUUUCUGCACUUGGAGUAGACAGCACCUUGAUAGCUCAGUUGGUAGAGCAGAGGACUGUAGGCAGUUCCUCCUAUCAAGUGCUCUCGUUCCAACGUCGCUGGUUCAACUCCUGCUCAAAGCAAGCCUUGUCUUCAUCUGUCAGCUCCUCCAAAAUUUAAAAACACAAACAAGAUAACUCCUACUUUAUUUUCCAACCGUCAAUUUUUUGUUCACCCAGCCUAACAGUCCUGAUUAUCAGUUCUGGGUCCCUGGCAAUGACUGUUGGGUACAAACUGAGAAGCUGUGCUCUGAAGGUAGGGCUGGGCUUUUCACUGACCAUGUAGGUGGAUUAGUUGUGUGGGCAAAGUGUGUCAUCAUAGCCACUAUGUUUUCUGCACUUGGAGUAGACAGCACCUUGAUAGCUCAGUUGGUAGAGCAGAGGACUGUAGGCAGUUCCUCCUAUGAAGUGCUGUCGUUCCAGUGUCGCUGGUUCAACUCCCGCUCAAAGCAAGCCUUGUCUUCAUCUGUCAGCUCCUCCAAAAUUUAAAAACACAAACAAGAUAACUCCUACUUUAUUUUCCAACCAUCAAUUUUUUAUUCACCCAGCCUAAAAGUCCUGAUUAUCAGUUCUGGGUCCCUGGCAAUGACUGUUGGGUACAAACUGAGAAGCUGUGCUCUGAAGGUAGGGCUGGGCUUUUCACUGACCAUGUAGGUGGAUUAGUUGUGUGGGCAAAGUGUGUCAUCAUAGCCACUAUGUUUUCUGCACUUGGAGUAGACAGCACCUUGAUAGCUCAGUUGGUAGAGCAGAGGACUGUAGGCAGUUCCUCCUAUGAAGUGCUGUGGUUCCAAGGUCGCUGGUUCAACUCCCGCUCAAAGCAAGCCUUGUCUUCAUCUGUCAGCUCCUCCAAAAUUUAAAAACACAAACAAGAUAACUCCUACUUUAUUUUCCAACCGUCAAUUUUUUAUUCACCCAGCCUAAAAGUCCUGAUUAUCAGUUCUGGGUCCCUGGCAAUGACUGUUGGGUACAAACUGAGAAGCUGCGCUCUGAAGGUAGGGCUGGGCUUUUCACUGACCAUGUAGGUGGAUUAGUUGUGUGGGCAAAGUGUGUCAUCAUAGCCACUAUGUUUUCUGCACUUGGAGUAGACAGCACCUUGAUAGCUCAGUUGGUAGAGCAGAGGACUGUAGGCAGUUCUUCCUAUGAAGUGCUGUCGUUCCAGGGUCGGUGGUUCAACUCCCGCUCAAAGCAAGCCUUGUGUUCAUCUGUCAGCUCCUCCAAAAUUUAAAAACACAAACAAGAUAACUCCUACUUUAUUUUCCAACCAUCAAUUUUUUAUUCACCCAGCCUAAAAGUCCUGAUUAUCAGUUCUGGGUCCCUGGCAAUGACUGUUGGGUACAAACUGAGAAGCUGUGCUCUGAAGGUAGGGCUGGGCUUUUCACUGACCAUGUAGGUGGAUUAGUUGUGUGGGCAAAGUGUGUCAUCAUAGCCACUAUGUUUUCUGCACUUGGUGUAGACACCACCUUGAUAGCUCAGUUGGUAGAGCAGAGGACUGUAGGCAGUUCCUCCUGUGAAGUGCUGUGGUUCCAAGGUCGCUGGUUCAACUCCCGCUCAAAGCAAGCCUUGUGUUCAUCUGUCAGCUCCUCCAAAAUUUAAAAACACAAACAAGAUAACUCCUACUUUAUUUUCCAACCGUCAAUUUUUUAUUCACCCAGCCUAAAAGUCCUGAUUAUCAGUUCUGGGUCCCUGGCAAUGACUGUUGGGUACAAACUGAGAAGCUGUGCUCUGAAGGUAGGGCUGGGCUUUUCACUGACCAUGUAGGUGGAUUAGUUGUGUGGGCAAAGUGUGUCAUCAUAGCCACUAUGUUUUCUGCACUUGGAGUAGACAGCACCUUGAUAGCUCAGUUGGUAGAGCAGAGGACUGUAGGCAGUUCCUCCUAUGAAGUGCUGUCGUUCCAAGGUCGCUGGUUCAACUCCCGCUCAAAGCAAGCCUUGACUUCAUCUGUCACCUCCUCCAAAAUUUAAAAACACAAACAAGAUAACUCCUACUUUAUUUUCCAACCAUCAAUUUUUUAUUCACCCAGCCUAAAAGUCCUGAUUAUCAGUUCUGGGUCCCUGGCAAUGACUGUUGGGUACAAACUGAGAAGCUGCGCUCUGAAGGUAGGGCUGGGCUUUUCACUGACCAUGUAGGUGGAUUAGUUGUGUGGGCAAAGUGUGUCAUCAUAGCCACUAUGUUUUCUGCACUUGGAGUAGACAGCACCUUGAUAGCUCAGUUGGUAGAGCAGAGGACUGUAGGCAGUUCCUCCUAUGAAGUGCUGUCGUUCCAAGGUCGCUGCUUCAACUCCUGCUCAAAGCAAGCCUUGUCUUCAUCUGUCAGCUCCUCCAAAAUUUAAAAACACAAACAAGAUAACUCCUACUUUAUUUUCCAACCAUCAAUUUUUUAUUCACCCAGCCUAAAAGUCCUGAUUAUCAGUUCUGGGUCCCUGGCAAUGACUGUUGGGUACAAACUGAGAAGCUGUGCUCUGAAGGUAGGGCUGGGCUUUUCACUGACCAUGUAGGUGGAUUAGUUGUGUGGGCAAAGUGUGUCAUCAUAGCCACUAUGUUUUCUGCACUAGGAGUAGACAGCACCUUGAUAGCUCAGUUGGUAGAGCAGAGGACUGUAGGCAGUUCCUCCUAUGAAGUGCUGUGGUUCCAGGGUCGCUGGUUCAACUCCCGCUCAAAGCAAGCCUUGUGUUCAUCUGUCAGCUCCUCCAAAAUUUAAAAACACAAACAAGAUAACUCCUACUUUAUUUUCCAACCAUCAAUUUUUUAUUCACCCAGCCUAAAAGUCCUGAUUAUCAGUUCUGGGUCCCUGGCAAUGACUGUUGGGUACAAACUGAGAAGCUGUGCUCUGAAGGUAGGGCUGGGCUUUUCACUGACCAUGUAGGUGGAUUAGUUGUGUGGGCAAAGUGUGUCAUCAUAGCCACUAUGUUUUCUGCACUUGGAGUAGACAGCACCUUGAUAGCUCAGUUGGUAGAGCAGAGGACUGUAGGCAGUUCCUCCUAUGAAGUGCUGUGGUUCCAAGGUCGGUGGUUCAACUCCCGCUCAAAGCAAGCCUUGUCUUCAUCUGUCAGCUCCUCCAAAAUUUAAAAACACAAACAAGAUAACUCCUACUUUAUUUUCCAACCGUCAAUUUUUUAUUCACCCAGCCUAAAAGUCCUGAUUAUCAGUUCUGGGUCCCUGGCAAUGACUGUUGGGUACAAACUGAGAAGCUGCGCUCUGAAGGUAGGGCUGGGCUUUUCACUGACCAUGUAGGUGGAUUAGUUGUGUGGGCAAAGUGUGUCAUCAUAGCCACUAUGUUUUCUGCACUUGGAGUAGACAGCACCUUGAUAGCUCAGUUGGUAGAGCAGAGGACUGUAGGCAGUUCUUCCUAUGAAGUGCUGUCGUUCCAGGGUCGCUGGUUCAACUCCCGCUCAAAGCAAGCCUUGUGUUCAUCUGUCAGCUCCUCCAAAAUUUAAAAACACAAACAAGAUAACUCCUACUUUAUUUUCCAACCAUCAAUUUUUUAUUCACCCAGCCUAAAAGUCCUGAUUAUCAGUUCUGGGUCCCUGGCAAUGACUGUUGGGUACAAACUGAGAAGCUGUGCUCUGAAGGUAGGGCUGGGCUUUUCACUGACCAUGUAGGUGGAUUAGUUGUGUGGGCAAAGUGUGUCAUCAUAGCCACUAUGUUUUCUGCACUUGGUGUAGACAGCACCUUGAUAGCUCAGUUGGUAGAGCAGAGGACUGUAGGCAGUUCCUCCUGUGAAGUGCUGUGGUUCCAAGGUCGCUGGUUCAACUCCCGCUCAAAGCAAGCCUUGUGUUCAUCUGUCAGCUCCUCCAAAAUUUAAAAACACAAACAAGAUAACUCCUACUUUAUUUUCCAACCGUCAAUUUUUUAUUCACCCAGCCUAAAAGUCCUGAUUAUCAGUUCUGGGUCCCUGGCAAUGACUGUUGGGUACAAACUGAGAAGCUGUGCUCUGAAGGUAGGGCUGGGCUUUUCACUGACCAUGUAGGUGGAUUAGUUGUGUGGGCAAAGUGUGUCAUCAUAGCCACUAUGUUUUCUGCACUUGGAGUAGACAGCACCUUGAUAGCUCAGUUGGUAGAGCAGAGGACUGUAGGCAGUUCCUCCUAUGAAGUGCUGUCGUUCCAAGGUCGCUGGUUCAACUCCCGCUCAAAGCAAGCCUUGACUUCAUCUGUCACCUCCUCCAAAAUUUAAAAACACAAACAAGAUAACUCCUACUUUAUUUUCCAACCAUCAAUUUUUUAUUCACCCAGCCUAAAAGUCCUGAUUAUCAGUUCUGGGUCCCUGGCAAUGACUGUUGGGUACAAACUGAGAAGCUGCGCUCUGAAGGUAGGGCUGGGCUUUUCACUGACCAUGUAGGUGGAUUAGUUGUGUGGGCAAAGUGUGUCAUCAUAGCCACUAUGUUUUCUGCACUUGUAGUAGACAGCACCUUGAUAGCUCAGUUGGUAGAGCAGAGGACUGUAGGCAGUUCCUCCUAUGAAGUGCUGUCGUUCCAAGGUCGCUGCUUCAACUCCUGCUCAAAGCAAGCCUUGUCUUCAUCUGUCAGCUCCUCCAAAAUUUAAAAACACAAACAAGAUAACUCCUACUUUAUUUUCCAACCAUCAAUUUUUUAUUCACCCAGCCUAAAAGUCCUGAUUAUCAGUUCUGGGUCCCUGGCAAUGACUGUUGGGUACAAACUGAGAAGCUGCGCUCUGAAGGUAGGGCUGGGCUUUUCACUGACCAUGUAGGUGGAUUAGUUGUGUGGGCAAAGUGUGUCAUCAUAGCCACUAUGUUUUCUGCACUUGGAGUAGACAGCACCUUGAUAGCUCAGUUGGUAGAGCAGAGGACUGUAGGCAGUUCCUCCUAUGAAGUGCUGUGGUUCCAGGGUCGCUCGUUCAACUCCCGCUCAAAGCAAGCCUUGUGUUCAUCUGUCAGCUCCUCCAAAAUUUAAAAACACAAACAAGAUAACUCCUACUUUAUUUUCCAACCAUCAAUUUUUUAUUCACCCAGCCUAAAAGUCCUGAUUAUCAGUUCUGGGUCCCUGGCAAUGACUGUUGGGUACAAACUGAGAAGCUGUGCUCUGAAGGUAGGGCUGGGCUUUUCACUGACCAUGUAGGUGGAUUAGUUGUGUGGGCAAAGUGUGUCAUCAUAGCCACUAUGUUUUCUGCACUUGGAGUAGACAGCACCUUGAUAGCUCAGUUGGUAGAGCACAGGACUGUAGGCAGUUCCUCCUAUGAAGUGCUGUGGUUCCAAGGUCGCUGGUUCAACUCCCGCUCAAAGCAAGCCUUGUCUUCAUCUGUCAGCUCCUCCAAAAUUUAAAAACACAAACAAGAUAACUCCUACUUUAUUUUCCAACCAUCAAUUUUUUAUUCACCCAGCCUAAAAGUCCUGAUUAUCAGUUCUGGGUCCCUGGCAAUGACUGUUGGGUACAAACUGAGAAGCUGCGCUCUGAAGGUAGGGCUGGGCUUUUCACUGACCAUGUAGGUGGAUUAGUUGUGUGGGCAAAGUGUGUCAUCAUAGCCACUAUGUUUUCUGCACUUGGAGUAGACAGCACCUUGAUAGCUCAGUUGGUAUAGCAGAGGACUGUAGGCAGUUCUUCCUAUGAAGUGCUGUCGUUCCAGGGACGCUGGUUCAACUCCCCCUCAAAGCAAGCCUUGUGUUCAUCUGUCAGCUCCUCCAAAAUUUAAAAACACAAACAACAUAACUCCUACUUUAUUUUCCAACCAUCAAUUUUUUAUUCACCCAGCCUAAAAGUCCUGAUUAUCAGUUCUGGGUCCCUGGCAAUGACUGUUGGGUACAAACUGAGAAGCUGUGCUCUGAAGGUAGGGCUGGGCUUUUCACUGACCAUGUUGGUGGAUUAGUUGUGUGGGCAAAGUGUGUCAUCAUAGCCACUAUGUUUUCUGCACUUGGAGUAGACAGCACCUUGAUAGCUCAGUUGGUAGAGCACAGGACUGUAGGCAGUUCCUCCUAUGAAGUGCUGUGGUUCCAAGGUCGCUGGUUCAACUCCCGCUCAAAGCAAGCCUUGUCUUCAUCUGUCAGCUCCUCCAAAAUUUAAAAACACAAACAAGAUAACUCCUACUUUAUUUUCCAACCAUCAAUUUUUUAUUCACCCAGCCUAAAAGUCCUGAUUAUCAGUUCUGGGUCCCUGGCAAUGACUGUUGGGUACAAACUGAGAAGCUGUGCUCUGAAGGUAGGGCUGGGCUUUUCACUGACCAUGUAGGUGGAUUAGUUGUGUGGGCAAAGUGUGUCAUCAUAGCCACUAUGUUCUCUGCACUUGGACUAGACAGCACCUUGAUAGCUCAGUUGGUAGAGCAGAGUAAUGUAGGCAGUUCCUCCUAUGAAGUGCUGUGGUUCCAAGGUCGCUAGUUCAACUCCCGCUCAAAGCAAGCCUUGUGUUCAUCUGUCAGCUCCUCCAAAAUUUAAAAACACAAACAAGAUAACUCCUACUUUAUUUUCCAACCAUCAAUUUUUUAUUCACCCAGCCUAAAAGUCCUGAUUAUCAGUUCUGGGUCCCUGGCAAUGACUGUUGGGUACAAACUGAGAAGCUGUGCUCUGAAGGUCGGGCUGGGCUUUUCACUGACCAUGUAGGUGGAUUAGUUGUGUGGGCAAAGUGUGUCAUCAUAGCCACUAUGUUUUCUGCACUUGGAGUAGACAGCACCUUGAUAGCUCAGUUGGUAGAGCAGAGGACUGUAGGCAGUUCCUCCUAUGAAGUGCUGUGGUUCCAAGGUUGCUGGUUCAACUCCCGCUCAAAGCAAGCCUUGUCUUCAUCUGUCAGCUCCUCCAAAAUUUAAAAACACAAACAAGAUAACUCCUACUUUAUUUUCCAACCAUCAAUUUUUUAUUCACCCAGCCUAAAAGUCCUGAUUAUCAGUUCUGGGUCCCUGGCAAUGACUGUUGGGUACAAACUGAGAAGCUGUGCUCUGAAGGUAGGGCUGGGCUUUUCACUGACCAUGUAGGUGGAUUAGUUGUGUGGGCAAAGUGUGUCAUCAUAGCCACUAUGUUUUCUGCACUUGGAGUAGACAGCACCCUGAUAGCUCAGUUGGUAGAACAGAGGACUCUAGGCAGUUCCUCCUAUGAAGUGCUGUGGUUCCAAGGUCGCUGGUUCAACUCCCGCUCAAAGCAAGCCUUGUCUUCAUCUGUCAGCUCCUCCAAAAUUUAAAAACACAAACAAGAUAACUCCUACUUUAUUUUCCAACCGUCAAUUUUUUAUUCACCCAGCCUAAAAGUCCUGAUUAUCAGUUCUGGGUCCCUGGCAAUGACUGUUGGGUACAAACUGAGAAGCUGUGCUCUGAAGGUAGGGCUGGGCUUUUCACUGACCAUGUAGGUGGAUUAGUUGUGUGGGCAAAGUGUGUCAUCAUAGCCACUAUGUUUUCUGCACUUGGAGUAGACAGCACCUUGAUAGCUCAGUUGGUAGAGCAGAGGACUGUAGGCAGUUCCUCCUAUGAAGUGCUGUGGUUCCAAGGUCGCUGGUUCAACUCCCGCUCAAAGCAAGCCUUGUCUUCAUCUGUCAGCUCCUCCAAGAUUUAAAAACACAAACAAGAUAACUCCUACUUUAUUUUCCAACCAUCAAUUUUUUAUUCACCCAGCCUAAAAGUCCUGAUUAUCAGUUCUGGGUCCCUGGCAAUGACUGUUGGGUACAAACUGAGAAGCUGUGCUCUGAAGGUAGGGCUGGGCUUUUCACUGACCAUGUAGGUGGAUUAGUUGUGUGGGCAAAGUGUGUCAUCAUAGCCACUAUGUUUUCUGCACUUGGAGUAGACAGCACCUUGAUAGCUCAGUUGGUAGAGCAGAGGACUGUAGGCAGUUCCUCCUAUGAAGUGCUGUGGUUCCAAGGUUGCUGGUUCAACUCCCGCUCAAAGCAAGCCUUGUGUUCAUCUGUCAGCUCCUCCAAAAUUUAAAAACACAAACAAGAUAACUCCUACUUUAUUUUCCAACCGUCAAUUUUUUAUUCACCCAGCCUAAAAGUCCUGAUUAUCAGUUCUGGGUCCCUGGCAAUGACUGUUGGGUACAAACUGAGAAGCUGUGCUCUGAAGGUAGGGCUGGGCUUUUCACUGACCAUGUUGGUGGAUUAGUUGUGUGGGCAAAGUGUGUCAUCAUAGCCACUAUGUUUUCUGCACUUGGAGUAGACAGCACCUUGAUAGCUCAGUUGGUAGAGCAGAGGACUGUAGGCAGUUCCUCCUAUGAAGUGCUGUGGUUCCAAGGUCCCUGGUUCAACUCCCGCUCAAAGCAAGCCUUGUCUUCAUCUGUCAGCUCCUCCAAAAUUUAAAAACACAAACAAGAUAACUCCUACUUUAUUUUCCAACCAUCAAUUUUUUACUCACCCAGCCUAAAAGUCCUGAUUAUCAGUUCUGGGUCCCUGGCAAUGACUGUUGGGUACAAACUGAGAAGCUGUGCUCUGAAGGUAGGGCUGGGCUUUUCACUGACCAUGUAGGUGGAUUAGUUGUGUGGGCAAAGUGUGUCAUCAUAGCCACUAUGUUUUCUGCACUUGGAGUAGACAGCACCUUGAUAGCUCAGUUGGUAGAGCAGAGUAAUGUAGGCAGUUCCUCCUAUGAAGUGCUGUGGUUCCAAGGUCGCUGGUUCAACUCCCGCUCAAAGCAAGCCUAGUGUUCAUCUGUCAGCUCCUCCAAAAUUUAAAAACACAAACAAGAUAACUCCUACUUUAUUUUCCAACCAUCAAUUUUUUAUUCACCCAGCCUAAAAGUCCUGAUUAUCAGUUCUGGGUCUGGCAAUGACUGUUGGGUACAAACUGAGAAGCUGUGCUCUGAAGGUAGGGCUGGGCUUUUCACUGACCAUGUAGGUGGAUUAGUUGUGUGGGCAAAGUGUGUCAUCAUAGCCACUAUGUUUUCUGCACUUGGAGUAGACAGCACCUUGAUAGCUCAGUUGGUAGAGCAGAGGACUGUAGGCAGUUCCUCCUAUGAAGUGCUGUGGUUCCAAGGUCGCUGGUUCAACUCCCGCUCAAAGCAAGCCUUGUCUUCAUCUGUCAGCUCCUCCAAAAUUUAAAAACACAAACAAGAUAACUCCUACUUUAUUUUCCAACCAUCAAUUUUUUAUUCACCCAGCCUAAAAGUCCUGAUUAUCAGUUCUGGGUCCCUGGCAAUGACUGUUGGGUACAAACUGAGAAGCUGUGCUCUGAAGGUAGGGCUGGGCUUUUCACUGACCAUGUAGGUGGAUUAGUUGUGUGGGCAAAGUGUGUCAUCAUAGCCACUAUGUUUUCUGCACUUGGAGUAGACAGCACCCUGAUAGCUCAGUUGGUAGAACAGAGGACUCUAGGCAGUUCCUCCUAUGAAGUGCUGUGGUUCCAAGGUCGCUGGUUCAACUCCCGCUCAAAGCAAGCCUUGUCUUCAUCUGUCAGCUCCUCCAAAAUUUAAAAACACAAACAAGAUAACUCCUACUUUAUUUUCCAACCGUCAAUUUUUUAUUCACCCAGCCUAAAAGUCCUGAUUAUCAGUUCUGGGUCCCUGGCAAUGACUGUUGGGUACAAACUGAGAAGCUGUGCUCUGAAGGUAGGGCUGGGCUUUUCACUGACCAUGUAGGUGGAUUAGUUGUGUGGGCAAAGUGUGUCAUCAUAGCCACUAUGUUUUCUGCACUUGGAGUAGACAGCACCUUGAUAGCUCAGUUGGUAGAGCAGAGGACUGUAGGCAGUUCCUCCUAUGAAGUGCUGUGGUUCCAAGGUCGCUGGUUCAACUCCCGCUCAAAGCAAGCCUUGUCUUCAUCUGUCAGCUCCUCCAAAAUUUAAAAACACAAACAAGAUAACUCCUACUUUAUUUUCCAACCAUCAAUUUUUUAUUCACCCAGCCUAAAAGUCCUGAUUAUCAGUUCUGGGUCCCUGGCAAUGACUGUUGGGUACAAACUGAGAAGCUGUGCUCUGAAGGUAGGGCUGGGCUUUUCACUGACCAUGUAGGUGGAUUAGUUGUGUGGGCAAAGUGUGUCAUCAUAGCCACUAUGUUUUCUGCACUUGGAGUAGACAGCACCUUGAUAGCUCAGUUGGUAGAGCAGAGGACUGUAGGCAGUUCCUCCUAUGAAGUGCUGUGGUUCCAAGGUCGCUGGUUCAACUCCCGCUCAAAGCAAGCCUUGUCUUCAUCUGUCAGCUCCUCCAAAAUUUAAAAACACAAACAAGAUAACUCCUACUUUAUUUUCCAACCAUCAAUUUUUUAUUCACCCAGCCUAAAAGUCCUGAUUAUCAGUUCUGGGUCCCUGGCAAUGACUGUUGGGUACAAACUGAGAAGCUGCGCUCUGAAGGUAGGGCUGGGCUUUUCACUGACCAUGUAGGUGGAUUAGUUGUGUGGGCAAAGUGUGUCAUCAUAGCCACUAUGUUUUCUGCACUUGGAGUAGACAGCACCUUGAUAGCUCAGUUGGUAGAGCAGAGGACUGUAGGCAGUUCUUCCUAUGAAGUGCUGUCGUUCCAGGGUCGCUGCUUCAACUCCCCCUCAAAGCAAGCCUUGUGUUCAUCUGUCAGCUCCUCCAAAAUUUAAAAACACAAACAAGAUAACUCCUACUUUAUUUUCCAACCAUCAAUUUUUUAUUCACCCAGCCUAAAAGUCCUGAUUAUCAGUUCUGGGUCCCUGGCAAUGACUGUUGGGUACAAACUGAGAAGCUGUGCUCUGAAGGUAGGGCUGGGCUUUUCACUGACCAUGUUGGUGGAUUAGUUGUGUGGGCAAAGUGUGUCAUCAUAGCCACUAUGUUUUCUGCACUUGGAGUAGACAGCACCUUGAUAGCUCAGUUGGUAGAGCACAGGACUGUAGGCAGUUCCUCCUAUGAAGUGCUGUGGUUCCAAGGUCGCUGGUUCAACUCCCGCUCAAAGCAAGCCUUGUCUUCAUCUGUCAGCUCCUCCAAAAUUUAAAAACACAAACAAGAUAACUCCUACUUUAUUUUCCAACCAUCAAUUUUUUAUUCACCCAGCCUAAAAGUCCUGAUUAUCAGUUCUGGGUCCCUGGCAAUGACUGUUGGGUACAAACUGAGAAGCUGUGCUCUGAAGGUAGGGCUGGGCUUUUCACUGACCAUGUAGGUGGAUUAGUUGUGUGGGCAAAGUGUGUCAUCAUAGCCACUAUGUUCUCUGCACUUGGACUAGACAGCACCUUGAUAGCUCAGUUGGUAGAGCAGAGUAAUGUAGGCAGUUCCUCCUAUGAAGUGCUGUGGUUCCAAGGUCGCUAGUUCAACUCCCGCUCAAAGCAAGCCUUGUGUUCAUCUGUCAGCUCCUCCAAAAUUUAAAAACACAAACAAGAUAACUCCUACUUUAUUUUCCAACCAUCAAUUUUUUAUUCACCCAGCCUAAAAGUCCUGAUUAUCAGUUCUGGGUCUGGCAAUGACUGUUGGGUACAAACUGAGAAGCUGUGCUCUGAAGGUCGGGCUGGGCUUUUCACUGACCAUGUAGGUGGAUUAGUUGUGUGGGCAAAGUGUGUCAUCAUAGCCACUAUGUUUUCUGCACUUGGAGUAGACAGCACCUUGAUAGCUCAGUUGGUAGAGCAGAGGACUGUAGGCAGUUCCUCCUAUGAAGUGCUGUGGUUCCAAGGUUGCUGGUUCAACUCCCGCUCAAAGCAAGCCUUGUCUUCAUCUGUCAGCUCCUCCAAAAUUUAAAAACACAAACAAGAUAACUCCUACUUUAUUUUCCAACCAUCAAUUUUUUAUUCACCCAGCCUAAAAGUCCUGAUUAUCAGUUCUGGGUCCCUGGCAAUGACUGUUGGGUACAAACUGAGAAGCUGUGCUCUGAAGGUAGGGCUGGGCUUUUCACUGACCAUGUAGGUGGAUUAGUUGUGUGGGCAAAGUGUGUCAUCAUAGCCACUAUGUUUUCUGCACUUGGAGUAGACAGCACCCUGAUAGCUCAGUUGGUAGAACAGAGGACUCUAGGCAGUUCCUCCUAUGAAGUGCUGUGGUUCCAAGGUCGCUGGUUCAACUCCCGCUCAAAGCAAGCCUUGUCUUCAUCUGUCAGCUCCUCCAAAAUUUAAAAACACAAACAAGAUAACUCCUACUUUAUUUUCCAACCGUCAAUUUUUUAUUCACCCAGCCUAAAAGUCCUGAUUAUCAGUUCUGGGUCCCUGGCAAUGACUGUUGGGUACAAACUGAGAAGCUGUGCUCUGAAGGUAGGGCUGGGCUUUUCACUGACCAUGUAGGUGGAUUAGUUGUGUGGGCAAAGUGUGUCAUCAUAGCCACUAUGUUUUCUGCACUUGGAGUAGACAGCACCUUGAUAGCUCAGUUGGUAGAGCAGAGGACUGUAGGCAGUUCCUCCUAGGAAGUGCUGUGGUUCCAAGGUCGCUGGUUCAACUCCCGCUCAAAGCAAGCCUUGUGUUCAUCUGUCAGCUCCUCCAAAAUUUAAAAACACAAACAAGAUAACUCCUACUUUAUUUUCCAACCAUCAAUUUUUUAUUCACCCAGCCUAAAAGUCCUGAUUAUCAGUUCUGGGUCCCUGGCAAUGACUGUUGGGUACAAACUGAGAAGCUGUGCUCUGAAGGUAGGGCUGGGCUUUUCACUGACCAUGUAGGUGGAUUAGUUGUGUGGGCAAAGUGUGUCAUCAUAGCCACUAUGUUUUCUGCACUUGGAGUAGACAGCACCUUGAUAGCUCAGUUGGUAGAGCAGAGGACUGUAGGCAGUUCCUCCUAUGAAGUGCUGUGGUUCCAAGGUUGCUGGUUCAACUCCCGCUCAAAGCAAGCCUUGUGUUCAUCUGUCAGCUCCUCCAAAAUUUAAAAACACAAACAAGAUAACUCCUACUUUAUUUUCCAACCGUCAAUUUUUUAUUCACCCAGCCUAAAAGUCCUGAUUAUCAGUUCUGGGUCCCUGGCAAUGACUGUUGGGUACAAACUGAGAAGCUGUGCUCUGAAGGUAGGGCUGGGCUUUUCACUGACCAUGUAGGUGGAUUAGUUGUGUGGGCAAAGUGUGUCAUCAUAGCCACUAUGUUUUCUGCACUUGGAGUAGACAGCACCUUGAUAGCUCAGUUGGUAGAGCAGAGGACUGUAGGCAGUUCCUCCUAUGAAGUGCUGUGGUUCCAAGUUCGCUGGUUCAACUCCCGCUCAAAGCAAGCCUUGUCUUCAUCUGUCAGCUCCUCCAAAAUUUAAAAACACAAACAAGAUAACUCCUACUUUAUUUUCCAACCAUCAAUUUUUUAUUCACCCAGCCUAAAAGUCCUGAUUAUCAGUUCUGGGUCCCUGGCAAUGACUGUUGGGUACAAACUGAGAAGCUGCGCUCUGAAGGUAGGGCUGGGCUUUUCACUGACCAUGUAGGUGGAUUAGUUGUGUGGGCAAAGUGUGUCAUCAUAGCCACUAUGUUUUCUGCACUUGGAGUAGACACCACCUUGAUAGCUCAGUUGGUAGAGCAGAGGACUGUAGGCAGUUCCUCCUAUGAAGUGCUGUGGUUCCAAGGUCGCUGGUUCAACUCCCGCUAAAGGCAAGCCUUGUGUUCAUCUGUCAGCUCCUCCAAAAUUUAAAAACACAAACAAGAUAACUCCUACUUUAUUUUCCAACCAUCAAUUUUUUAUUCACCCAGCCUAAAAGUCCUGAUUAUCAGUUCUGGGUCCCUGGCAAUGACUGUUGGGUACAAACUGAGAAGCUGUGCUCUGAAGGUAGGGCUGGGCUUUUCACUGACCAUGUAGGUGGAUUAGUUGUGUGGGCAAAGUGUGUCAUCAUAGCCACUAUGUUUUCUGCACUUGGAGUAGACAGCACCUUGAUAGCUCAGUUGGUAGAGCAGAGGACUGUAGGCAGUUCCUCCUAUGAAGUGCUGUGGUUCCAAGGUCGCUGGUUCAACUCCCGCUCAAAGCAAGCCUUGUGUUCAUCUGUCAGCUCCUCCAAAAUUUAAAAACACAAACAAGAUAACUCCUACUUUAUUUUCCAACCGUCAAUUUUUUAUUCACCCAGCCUAAAAGUCCUGAUUAUCAGUUCUGGGUCCCUGGCAAUGACUGUUGGGUACAAACUGAGAAGCUGUGCUCUGAAGGUAGGGCUGGGCUUUUCACUGACCAUGUAGGUGGAUUAGUUGUGUGGGCAAAGUGUGUCAUCAUAGCCACUAUGUUUUCUGCACUUGGAGUAGACAGCACCUUGAUAGCUCAGUUGGUAGAGCAGAGGACUGUAGGCAGUUCCUCCUAUGAAGUGCUGUCGUUCCAAGGUCGCUCGUUCAACUCCCGCUCAAAGCAAGCCUUGUGUUCAUCUGUCAGCUCCUCCAAAAUUUAAAAACACAAACAAGAUAACUCCUACUUUAUUUUCCAACCAUCAAUUUUUUAUUCACCCAGCCUAAAAGUCCUGAUUAUCAGUUCUGGGUCCCUGGCAAUGACUGUUGGGUACAAACUGAGAAGCUGUGCUCUGAAGGUAGGGCUGGGCUUUUCACUGACCAUGUAGGUGGAUUAGUUGUGUGGGCAAAGUGUGUCAUCAUAGCCACUAUGUUUUCUGCACUUGGAGUAGACAGCACCUUGAUAGCUCAGUUGGUAGAGCAGACGACUGUAGGCAGUUCCUCCUAUGAAGUGCUGUCGUUCCAGGGUCGCUUGUUCAACUCCCGCUCAAAGCAAGCCUUGUCUUAAUCUGUCAGCUCCUCCAAAAUUUAAAAACACAAACAAGAUAACUGCUACUUUAUUUUCCAACCAUCAAUUUUUUAUUCACCCAGCCUAAAAGUCCUGAUUAUCAGUUCUGGGUCCCUGGCAAUGACUGUUGGGUACAAACUGAGAAGCUGCGCUCUGAAGGUAGGGCUGGGCUUUUCACUGACCAUGUAGGUGGAUUAGUUGUGUGGGCAAAGUGUGUCAUCAUAGCCACUAUGUUUUCUGCACUUGGAGUAGACAGCACCUUGAUAGCUCAGUUGGUAGAGCAGAGGACUGUAGGCAGUUCCUCCUAUGAAGUGCUGUCAUUCCAGGGUCGCUGGUUCAACUCCCGCUCAAAGCAAGCCUUGUAUUCAUCUGUCAGCUCCUCCAAAAUUUAAAAACACAAACAAGAUAACUCCUACUUUAUUUUCCAACCAUCAAUUUUUUAUUCACCCAGCCUAAAAGUCCUGAUUAUCAGUUCUGGGUCCCUGGCAAUGACUGUUGGGUACAAACUGAGAAGCUGUGCUCUGAAGGUAGGGCUGGGCUUUUCACUGACCAUGUAGGUGGAUUAGUUGUGUGGGCAAAGUGUGUCAUCAUAGCCACUAUGUUUUCUGCACUUGGAGUAGACAGCACCUUGAUAGCUCAGUUGGUAGAGCAGAGGACUGUAGGCAGUUCCUCCUAUGAAGUGCUGUCGUUCCAAGGUCGCUCGUUCAACUCCCGCUCAAAGCAAGCCUUGUGUUCAUCUGUCAGCUCCUCCAAAAUUUAAAAACACAAACAAGAUAACUCCUACUUUAUUUUCCAACCAUCAAUUUUUUAUUCACCCAGCCUAAAAGUCCUGAUUAUCAGUUCUGGGUCCCUGGCAAUGACUGUUGGGUACAAACUGAGAAGCUGUGCUCUGAAGGUAGGGCUGGGCUUUUCACUGACCAUGUAGGUGGAUUAGUUGUGUGGGCAAAGUGUGUCAUCAUAGCCACUAUGUUUUCUGCACUUGGAGUAGACAGCACCUUGAUAGCUCAGUUGGUAGAGCAGAGGACUGUAGGCAGUUCCUCCUAUGAAGUGCUGUCGUUCCAGGGUCGCUUGUUCAACUCCCGCUCAAAGCAAGCCUUGUCUUAAUCUGUCAGCUCCUCCAAAAUUUAAAAACACAAACAAGAUAACUGCUACUUUAUUUUCCAACCAUCAAUUUUUUAUUCACCCAGCCUAAAAGUCCUGAUUAUCAGUUCUGGGUCCCUGGCAAUGACUGUUGGGUACAAACUGAGAAGCUGCGCUCUGAAGGUAGGGCUGGGCUUUUCACUGACCAUGUAGGUGGAUUAGUUGUGUGGGCAAAGUGUGUCAUCAUAGCCACUAUGUUUUCUGCACUUGGAGUAGACAGCACCUUGAUAGCUCAGUUGGUAGAGCAGAGGACUGUAGGCAGUUCCUCCUAUGAAGUGCUGUCAUUCCAGGGUCGCUGGUUCAACUCCCGCUCAAAGCAAGCCUUGUAUUCAUCUGUCAGCUCCUCCAAAAUUUAAAAACACAAACAAGAUAACUCCUACUUUAUUUUCCAACCAUCAAUUUUUUAUUCACCCAGCCUAAAAGUCCUGAUUAUCAGUUCUGGGUCCCUGGCAAUGACUGUUGGGUACAAACUGAGAAGCUGCGCUCUGAAGGUAGGGCUGGGCUUUUCACUGACCAUGUAGGUGGAUUAGUUGUGUGGGCAAAGUGUGUCAUCAUAGCCACUAUGUUUUCUGCACUUGGACUAGACAGCACCUUGAUAGCUCAGUUGGUAGAGCAGAGGACUGUAGGCAGUUCCUCCUAUGAAGUGCUGUGGUUCCAAGGUCGCUGGUUCAACUCCCGCUCAAAGCAAGCCUUGUGUUCAUCUGUCAGCUCCUCCAAAAUUUAAAAACACAAACAAGAUAACUCCUACUUUAUUUUCCAACCGUCAAUUUUUUAUUCACCCAGCCUAAAAGUCCUGAUUAUCAGUUCUGGGUCCCUGGCAAUGACUGUUGGGUACAAACUGAGAAGCUGUGCUCUGAAGGUAGGGCUGGGCUUUUCACUGACCAUGUUGGUGGAUUAGUUGUGUGGGCAAAGUGUGUCAUCAUAGCCACUAUGUUUUCUGCACUUGGAGUAGACAGCACCUUGAUAGCUCAGUUGGUAGAGCACAGGACUGUAGGCAGUUCCUCCUAUGAAGUGCUGUCGUUCCAAGGUCCCUGGUUCAACUCCCGCUCAAAGCAAGCCUUGUCUUCAUCUGUCAGCUCCUCCAAAAUUUAAAAACACAAACAAGAUAACUCCUACUUUAUUUUCCAACCAUCAAUUUUUUACUCACCCAGCCUAAAAGUCCUGAUUAUCAGUUCUGGGUCCCUGGCAAUGACUGUUGGGUACAAACUGAGAAGCUGUGCUCUGAAGGUAGGGCUGGGCUUUUCACUGACCAUGUAGGUGGAUUAGUUGUGUGGGCAAAGUGUGUCAUCAUAGCCACUAUGUUUUCUGCACUUGGAGUAGACAGCACCUUGAUAGCUCAGUUGGUAGAGCAGAGUAAUGUAGGCAGUUCCUCCUAUGAAGUGCUGUGGUUCCAAGGUCGCUGGUUCAACUCCCGCUCAAAGCAAGCCUAGUGUUCAUCUGUCAGCUCCUCCAAAAUUUAAAAACACAAACAAGAUAACUCCUACUUUAUUUUCCAACCAUCAAUUUUUUAUUCACCCAGCCUAAAAGUCCUGAUUAUCAGUUCUGGGUCCCUGGCAAUGACUGUUGGGUACAAACUGAGAAGCUGUGCUCUGAAGGUAGGGCUGGGCUUUUCACUGACCAUGUAGGUGGAUUAGUUGUGUGGGCAAAGUGUGUCAUCAUAGCCACUAUGUUUUCUGCACUUGGAGUAGACAGCACCUUGAUAGCUCAGUUGGUAGAGCAGAGGACUGUAGGCAGUUCCUCCUAUGAAGUGCUGUGGUUCCAAGGUCGCUGGUUCAACUCCCGCUCAAAGCAAGCCUUGUCUUCAUCUGUCAGCUCCUCCAAGAUUUAAAAACACAAACAAGAUAACUCCUACUUUAUUUUCCAACCAUCAAUUUUUUAUUCACCCAGCCUAAAAGUCCUGAUUAUCAGUUCUGGGUCCCUGGCAAUGACUGUUGGGUACAAACUGAGAAGCUGUGCUCUGAAGGUAGGGCUGGGCUUUUCACUGACCAUGUAGGUUGAUUAGUUGUGUGGGCAAAGUGUGUCAUCAUAGCCACUAUGUUUUCUGCACUUGGAGUAGACAGCACCCUGAUAGCUCAGUUGGUAGAACAGAGGACUCUAGGCAGUUCCUCCUAUGAAGUGCUGUGGUUCCAAGGUCGCUGGUUCAACUCCCGCUCAAAGCAAGCCUUGUCUUCAUCUGUCAGCUCCUCCAAAAUUUAAAAACACAAACAAGAUAACUCCUACUUUAUUUUCCAACCGUCAAUUUUUUAUUCACCCAGCCUAAAAGUCCUGAUUAUCAGUUCUGGGUCCCUGGCAAUGACUGUUGGGUACAAACUGAGAAGCUGUGCUCUGAAGGUAGGGCUGGGCUUUUCACUGACCAUGUAGGUGGAUUAGUUGUGUGGGCAAAGUGUGUCAUCAUAGCCACUAUGUUUUCUGCACUUGGAGUAGACAGCACCUUGAUAGCUCAGUUGGUAGAGCAGAGGACUGUAGGCAGUUCCUCCUAUGAAGUGCUGUGGUUCCAAGGUCGCUGGUUCAACUCCCGCUCAAAGCAAGCCUUGUCUUCAUCUGUCAGCUCCUCCAAAAUUUAAAAACACAAACAAGAUAACUCCUACUUUAUUUUCCAACCAUCAAUUUUUUAUUCACCCAGCCUAAAAGUCCUGAUUAUCAGUUCUGGGUCCCUGGCAAUGACUGUUGGGUACAAACUGAGAAGCUGUGCUCUGAAGGUAGGGCUGGGCUUUUCACUGACCAUGUAGGUGGAUUAGUUGUGUGGGCAAAGUGUGUCAUCAUAGCCACUAUGUUUUCUGCACUUGGAGUAGACAGCACCUUGAUAGCUCAGUUGGUAGAACAGAGGACUGUAGGCAGUUCCUCCUAUGAAGUGCUGUGGUUCCAAGGUUGCUGGUUCAACUCCCGCUCAAAGCAAGCCUUGUCUUCAUCUGUCAGCUCCUCCAAAAUUUAAAAACACAAACAAGAUAACUCCUACUUUAUUUUCCAACCGUCAAUUUUUUAUUCACCCAGCCUAAAAGUCCUGAUUAUCAGUUCUGGGUCCCUGGCAAUGACUGUUGGGUACAAACUGAGAAGCUGUGCUCUGAAGGUAGGGCUGGGCUUUUCACUGACCAUGUAGGUGGAUUAGUUGUGUGGGCAAAGUGUGUCAUCAUAGCCACUAUGUUUUCUGCACUUGGAGUAGACAGCACCUUGAUAGCUCAGUUGGUAGAGCAGAGUAAUGUAGGCAGUUCCUCCUAUGAAGUGCUGUGGUUCCAAGGUCGCUGGUUCAACUCCCGCUCAAAGCAAGCCUUGUGUUCAUCUGUCAGCUCCUCCAAAAUUUAAAAACACAAACAAGAUAACUCCUACUUUAUUUUCCAACCAUCAAUUUUUUAUUCACCCAGCCUAAAAGUCCUGAUUAUCAGUUCUGGGUCCCUGGCAAUGACUGUUGGGUACAAACUGAGAAGCUGUGCUCUGAAGGUAGGGCUGGGCUUUUCACUGACCAUGUAGGUGGAUUAGUUGUGUGGGCAAAGUGUGUCAUCAUAGCCACUAUGUUUUCUGCACUUGGACUAGACAGCACCUUGAUAGCUCAGUUGGUAGAGCAGAGGACUGUAGGCAGUUCCUCCUAUGAAGUGCUGUGGUUCCAAGGUCGCUGGUUCAACUCCCGCUCAAAGCAAGCCUUGUGUUCAUCUGUCAGCUCCUCCAAAAUUUAAAAACACAAACAAGAUAACUCCUACUUUAUUUUCCAACCAUCAAUUUUUUAUUCACCCAGCCUAAAAGUCCUGAUUAUCAGUUCUGGGUCCCUGGCAAUGACUGUUGGGUACAAACUGAGAAGCUGUGCUCUGAAGGUAGGGCUGGGCUUUUCACUGACCAUGUUGGUGGAUUAGUUGUGUGGGCAAAGUGUGUCAUCAUAGCCACUAUGUUUUCUGCACUUGGAGUAGACAGCACCUUGAUAGCUCAGUUGGUAGAGCACAGGACUGUAGGCAGUUCCUCCUAUGAAGUGCUGUCGUUCCAAGGUCCCUGGUUCAACUCCCGCUCAAAGCAAGCCUUGUCUUCAUCUGUCAGCUCCUCCAAAAUUUAAAAACACAAACAAGAUAACUCCUACUUUAUUUUCCAACCAUCAAUUUUUUAUUCACCCAGCCUAAAAGUCCUGAUUAUCAGUUCUGGGUCCCUGGCAAUGACUGUUGGGUACAAACUGAGAAGCUGUGCUCUGAAGGUAGGGCUGGGCUUUUCACUGACCAUGUAGGUGGAUUAGUUGUGUGGGCAAAGUGUGUCAUCAUAGCCACUAUGUUUUCUGCACUUGGAGUAGACAGCACCUUGAUAGCUCAGUUGGUAGAGCAGAGUAAUGUAGGCAGUUCCUCCUAUGAAGUGCUGUGGUUCCAAGGUCGCUGGUUCAACUCCCGCUCAAAGCAAGCCUUGUGUUCAUCUGUCAGCUCCUCCAAAAUUUAAAAACACAAACAAGAUAACUCCUACUUUAUUUUCCAACCAUCAAUUUUUUAUUCACCCAGCCUAAAAGUCCUGAUUAUCAGUUCUGGGUCUGGCAAUGACUGUUGGGUACAAACUGAGAAGCUGUGCUCUGAAGGUAGGGCUGGGCUUUUCACUGACCAUGUAGGUGGAUUAGUUGUGUGGGCAAAGUGUGUCAUCAUAGCCACUAUGUUUUCUGCACUUGGAGUAGACAGCACCUUGAUAGCUCAGUUGGUAGAGCAGAGGACUGUAGGCAGUUCCUCCUAUGAAGUGCUGUGGUUCCAAGGUCGCUGCUUCAAAUCCCGCUCAAAGCAAGCCUUGUCUUCAUCUUUCAGCUCCUCCAAAAUUUAAAAACACAAACAAGAUAACUCCUACUUUAUUUUCCAACCAUCAAUUUUUUAUUCACCCAGCCUAAAAGUCCUGAUUAUCAGUUCUGGGUCCCUGGCAAUGACUGUUGGGUACAAACUGAGAAGCUGUGCUCUGAAGGUAGGGCUGGGCUUUUCACUGACCAUGUAGGUGGAUUAGUUGUGUGGGCAAAGUGUGUCAUCAUAGCCACUAUGUUUUCUGCACUUGGAGUAGACAGCACCCUGAUAGCUCAGUUGGUAGAGCAGAGGACUGUAGGCAGUUCCUCCUAUGAAGUGCUUUCGUUCCAAGGUCGCUGGUUCAACUCCUGCUCAAAGCAAGCCUUGUCUUCAUCUGUCAGCUCCUCCAAAAUUUAAAAACACAAACAAGAUUACUCCUACUUUAUUUUCCAACCAUCAAUUUUUUAUUCACCCAGCCUAAAAGUCCUGAUUAUCAGUUCUGGGUCCCUGGCAAUGACUGUUGGGUACAAACUGAGAAGCUGCGCUCUGAAGGUAGGGCUGGGCUUUUCACUGACCAUGUAGGUGGAUUAGUUGUGUGGGCAAAGUGUGUCAUCAUAGCCACUAUGUUUUCUGCACUUGGAGUAGACAGCACCUUGAUAGCUCAGUUGGUAGAGCAGAGGACUGUAGGCAGUUCCUCCUAUGAAGUGCUGUGGUUCCACGGUCGCUGGUUCAACUCCCGCUCAAAGCAAGCCUUGUGUUCAUCUGACAGCUCCUCCAAAAUUUAAAAACACAAACAAGAUAACUCCUACUUUAUUUUCCAACCAUCAAUUUUUUAUUCACCCAGCCUAAAAGUCCUGAUUAUCAGUUCUGGGUCCCUGGCAAUGACUGUUGGGUACAAACUGAGAAGCUGCGCUCUGAAGGUAGGGCUGGGCUUUUCACUGACCAUGUAGGUGGAUUAGUUGUGUGGGCAAAGUGUGUCAUCAUAGCCACUAUGUUUUCUGCACUUGGAGUAGACAGCACCUUGAUAGCUCAGUUGGUAGAGCAGAGGACUGUAGGCAGUUCUUCCUAUGAAGUGCUGUCGUUCCAGGGUCGCUGGUUCAACUCCCGCUCAAAGCAAGCCUUGUGUUCAUCUGUCAGCUCCUCCAAAAUUUAAAAACACAAACAAGAUAACUCCUACUUUAUUUUCCAACCAUCAAUUUUUUAUUCACCCAGCCUAAAAGUCCUGAUUAUCAGUUCUGGGUCCCUGGCAAUGACUGUUGGGUACAAACUGAGAAGCUGUGCUCUGAAGGUAGGGCUGGGCUUUUCACUGACCAUGUAGGUGGAUUAGUUGUGUGGGCAAAGUGUGUCAUCAUAGCCACUAUGUUUUCUGCACUUGGAGUAGACAGCACCUUGAUAGCUCAGUUGGUAGAGCAGAGGACUGUAGGCAGUUCCUCCUAUGAAGUGCUGUGGUUCCAAGGUCGCUGGUUCAACUCCCGCUCAAAGCAAGCCUUGUCUUCAUCUGUCAGCUCCUCCAAAAUUUAAAAACACAAACAAGAUAACUCCUACUUUAUUUUCCAACCGUCAAUUUUUAAUUCACCCAGCCUAAAAGUCCUGAUUAUCAGUUCUGGGUCCCUGGCAAUGACUGUUGGGUACAAACUGAGAAGCUGUGCUCUGAAGGUAGGGCUGGGCUUUUCACUGACCAUGUUGGUGGAUUAGUUGUGUGGGCAAAGUGUGUCAUCAUAGCCACUAUGUUUUCUGCACUUGGAGUAGACAGCACCUUGAUAGCUCAGUUGGUAGAGCACAGGACUGUAGGCAGUUCCUCCUAUGAAGUGCUGUGGUUCCAAGGUCGCUGGUUCAACUCCCGCUCAAAGCAAGCCUUGACUUCAUCUGUCAGCUCCUCCAAAAUUUAAAAACACAAACAAGAUAACUCCUACUUUAUUUUCCAACCAUCAAUUUUUUAUUCACCCAGCCUAAAAGUCCUGAUUAUCAGUUCUGGGUCCCUGGCAAUGACUGUUGGGUACAAACUGAGAAGCUGCGCUCUGAAGGUAGGGCUGGGCUUUUCACUGACCAUGUAGGUGGAUUAGUUGUGUGGGCAAAGUGUGUCAUCAUAGCCACUAUGUUUUCUGCACUUGGAGUAGACAGCACCUUGAUAGCUCAGUUGGUAGAGCAGAGGACUGUAGGCAGUUCCUCCUAUGAAGUGCUGUGGUUCCAGGGUCGCUGGUUCAACUCCCGCUCAAAGCAAGCCUUGUGUUCAUCUGUCAGCUCCUCCAAAAUUUAAAAACACAAACAAGAUAACUCCUACUUUAUUUUCCAACCAUCAAUUUUUUAUUCACCCAGCCUAAAAGUCCUGAUUAUCAGUUCUGGGUCCCUGGCAAUGACUGUUGGGUACAAACUGAGAAGCUGUGCUCUGAAGGUAGGGCUGGGCUUUUCACUGACCAUGUUGGUGGAUUAGUUGUGUGGGCAAAGUGUGUCAUCAUAGCCACUAUGUUUUCUGCACUUGGAGUAGACAGCACCUUGAUAGCUCAGUUGGUAGAGCACAGGACUGUAGGCAGUUCCUCCUAUGAAGUGCUGUCGUUCCAAGGUCGCUGGUUCAACUCCCGCUCAAAGCAAGCCUUGUCUUCAUCUGUCAGCUCCUCCAAAAUUUAAAAACACAAACAAGAUAACUCCUACUUUAUUUUCCAACCAUCAAUUUUUUAUUCACCCAGCCUAAAAGUCCUGAUUAUCAGUUCUGGGUCCCUGGCAAUGACUGUUGGGUACAAACUGAGAAGCUGUGCUCUGAAGGUAGGGCUGGGCUUUUCACUGACCAUGUAGGUGGAUUAGUUGUGUGGGCAAAGUGUGUCAUCAUAGCCACUAUGUUUUCUGCACUUGGAGUAGACAGCACCUUGAUAGCUCAGUUGGUAGAGCAGAGGACUGUAGGCAGUUCCUCCUAUGAAGUGCUGUGGUUCCAAGGUCGCUGGUUCAACUCCCGCUCAAAGCAAGCCUUGUGUUCAUCUGUCAGCUCCUCCAAAAUUUAAAAACACAAACAAGAUAACUCCUACUUUAUUUUCCAACCAUCAAUUUUUUAUUCACCCAGCCUAAAAGUCCUGAUUAUCAGUUCUGGGUCCCUGGCAAUGACUGUUGGGUACAAACUGAGAAGCUGUGCUCUGAAGGUAGGGCUGGGCUUUUCACUGACCAUGUAGGUGGAUUAGUUGUGUGGGCAAAGUGUGUCAUCAUAGCCACUAUGUUUUCUGCACUUGGAGUAGACAGCACCUUGAUAGCUCACUUGGUAGAGCAGAGGACUGUAGGCAGUUCCUCCUAUGAAGUGCUGUGGUUCCAAGGUCGCUGGUUCAACUCCCGCUCAAAGCAAGCCUUGUCUUCAUCUGUCAGCUCCUCCAAAAUUUAAAAACACAAACAAGAUAACUCCUACUUUAUUUUCCAACCGUCAAUUUUUUAUUCACCCAGCCUAAAAGUCCUGAUUAUCAGUUCUGGGUCCCUGGCAAUGACUGUUGGGUACAAACUGAGAAGCUGUGCUCUGAAGGUAGGGCUGGGCUUUUCACUGACCAUGUAGGUGGAUUAGUUGUGUGGGCAAAGUGUGUCAUCAUAGCCACUAUGUUUUCUGCACUUGGAGUAGACAGCACCCUGAUAGCUCAGUUGGUAGAACAGAGGACUCUAGGCAGUUCCUCCUAUGAAGUGCUGUGGUUCCAAGGUCGCUGGUUCAACUCCCGCUCAAAGCAAGCCUUGUCUUCAUCUGUCAGCUCCUCCAAAAUUUAAAAACACAAACAAGAUAACUCCUACUUUAUUUUCCAACCGUCAAUUUUUUAUUCACCCAGCCUAAAAGUCCUGAUUAUCAGUUCUGGGUCCCUGGCAAUGACUGUUGGGUACAAACUGAGAAGCUGUGCUCUGAAGGUAGGGCUGGGCUUUUCACUGACCAUGUAGGUGGAUUAGUUGUGUGGGCAAAGUGUGUCAUCAUAGCCACUAUGUUUUCUGCACUUGGAGUAGACAGCACCUUGAUAGCUCAGUUGGUAGAGCAGAGGACUGUAGGCAGUUCCUCCUAUGAAGUGCUGUGGUUCCAAGGUCGCUGGUUCAACUCCCGCUCAAAGCAAGCCUUGUCUUCAUCUGUCAGCUCCUCCAAAAUUUAAAAACACAAACAAGAUAACUCCUACUUUAUUUUCCAACCAUCAAUUUUUUAUUCACCCAGCCUAAAAGUCCUGAUUAUCAGUUCUGGGUCCCUGGCAAUGACUGUUGGGUACAAACUGAGAAGCUGUGCUCUGAAGGUAGGGCUGGGCUUUUCACUGACCAUGUAGGUGGAUUAGUUGUGUGGGCAAAGUGUGUCAUCAUAGCCACUAUGUUUUCUGCACUUGGAGUAGACAGCACCUUGAUAGCUCAGUUGGUAGAGCAGAGGACUGUAGGCAGUUCCUCCUAUGAAGUGCUGUCGUUCCAAGGUUGCUGGUUCAACUCCCGCUCAAAGCAAGCCUUGUCUUCAUCUGUCAGCUCCUCCAAAAUUUAAAAACACAAACAAGAUAACUCCUACUUUAUUUUCCAACCGUCAAUUUUUUAUUCACCCAGCCUAAAAGUCCUGAUUAUCAGUUCUGGGUCCCUGGCAAUGACUGUUGGGUACAAACUGAGAAGCUGCGCUCUGAAGGUAGGGCUGGGCUUUUCACUGACCAUGUAGGUGGAUUAGUUGUGUGGGCAAAGUGUGUCAUCAUAGCCACUAUGUUUUCUGCACUUGGAGUAGACAGCACCUUGAUAGCUCAGUUGGUAGAGCAGAGGACUGUAGGCAGUUCCUCCUAUGAAGUGCUGUGGUUCCAAGGUCGCUGGUUCAACUCCCGCUCAAAGCAAGCCUUGUGUUCAUCUGUCAGCUCCUCCAAAAUUUAAAAACACAAACAAGAUAACUCCUACUUUAUUUUCCAACCAUCAAUUUUUUAUUCACCCAGCCUAAAAGUCCUGAUUAUCAGUUCUGGGUCUGGCAAUGACUGUUGGGUACAAACUGAGAAGCUGUGCUCUGAAGGUAGGGCUGGGCUUUUCACUGACCAUGUAGGUGGAUUAGUUGUGUGGGCAAAGUGUGUCAUCAUAGCCACUAUGUUUUCUGCACUUGGAGUAGACAGCACCUUGAUAGCUCAGUUGGUAGAGCAGAGGACUGUAGGCAGUUCCUCCUAUGAAGUGCUGUGGUUCCAAGGUCGCUGGUUCAACUCCCGCUCAAAGCAAGCCUUGUCUUCAUCUGUCAGCUCCUCCAAAAUUUAAAAACACAAACAAGAUAACUCAUACUUUAUUUUCCAACCAUCAAUUUUUUAUUCACCCAGCCUAAAAGUCCUGAUUAUCAGUUCUGGGUCCCUGGCAAUGACUGUUGGGUACAAACUGAGCAGCUGUGCUCUGAAGGUAGGGCUGGGCUUUUCACUGACCAUGUAGGUGGAUUAGUUGUGUGGGCAAAGUGUGUCAUCAUAGCCACUAUGUUUUCUGCACUUGGAGUAGACAGCACCCUGAUAGCUCAGUUGGUAGAACAGAGGACUCUAGGCAGUUCCUCCUAUGAAGUGCUGUGGUUCCAAGGUCGCUGGUUCAACUCCCGCUCAAAGCAAGCCUUGUGUUCAUCUGUCAGCUCCUCCAAAAUUUAAAAACACAAACAAGAUAACUCCUACUUUAUUUUCCAACCGUCAAUUUUUUAUUCACCCAGCCUAAAAGUCCUGAUUAUCAGUUCUGGGUCCCUGGCAAUGACUGUUGGGUACAAACUGAGAAGCUGUGCUCUGAAGGUAGGGCUGGGCUUUUCACUGACCAUGUAGGUGGAUUAGUUGUGUGGGCAAAGUGUGUCAUCAUAGCCACUAUGUUUUCUGCACUUGGAGUAGACAGCACCUUGAUAGCUCAGUUGGUAGAGCAGAGGACUGUAGGCAGUUCCUCCUAUGAAGUGCUGUGGUUCCAAGGUCGCUGGUUCAACUCCCGCUCAAAGCAAGCCUUGUGUUCAUCUGUCAGCUCCUCCAAAAUUUAAAAACACAAACAAGAUAACUCCUACUUUAUUUUCCAACCAUCAAUUUUUUAUUCACCCAGCCUAAAAGUCCUGAUUAUCAGUUCUGGGUCCCUGUCAAUGACUGUUGGGUACAAACUGAGAAGCUGUGCUCUGAAGGUAGGGCUGGGCUUUUCACUGACCAUGUAGGUGGAUUAGUUGUGUGGGCAAAGUGUGUCAUCAUAGCCACUAUGUUUUCUGCACUUGGAGUAGACAGCACCUUGAUAGCUCAGUUGGUAGAGCAGAGGACUGUAGGCAGUUCCUCCUAUGAAGUGCUGUGGUUCCAAGGUCGGUGGUUCAACUCCCGCUCAAAGCAAGCCUUGUCUUCAUCUGUCAGCUCCUCCAAAAUUUAAAAACACAAACAAGAUAACUCCUACUUUAUUUUCCAACCGUCAAUUUUUUAUUCACCCAGCCUAAAAGUCCUGAUUAUCAGUUCUGGGUCCCUGGCAAUGACUGUUGGGUACAAACUGAGAAGCUGUGCUCUGAAGGUAGGGCUGGGCUUUUCACUGACCAUGUAGGUGGAUUAGUUGUGUGGGCAAAGUGUGUCAUCAUAGCCACUAUGUUUUCUGCACUUCAAGUAGACAGCACCUUGAUAGCUCAGUUGGUAGAGCAGAGGACUGUAGGCAGUUCCUCCUAUGAAGUGCUCUUGUUCCAAGGUCGCUGGUUCAACUCCAGCUCAAAGCAAGCCUUGUCUUCAUCUGUCAGCUCCUCCAAAAUUUAAAAACACAAACAAGAUAACUCCUACUUUAUUUUCCAACCGUCAAUUUUCUGUUCACCCAGCCUAAAAGUCCUGAUUAUCAGUUCUGGGUCCCUGGCAAUGACUGUUGGGUACAAACUGAGAAGCUGUGCUCUGAAGGUAGGGCUGGGCUUUUCACUGACCAUGUAGGUGGAUUAGUUGUGUGGGCAAAGUGUGUCAUCAUAGCCACUAUGUUUUCUGCACUUGGAGUAGACAGCACCUUGAUAGCUCAGUUGGUAGAGCAGAGGACUGUAGGCAGUUCCUCCUAUGAAGUGCUGUCGUUCCAGGGUCGCUGGUUCAACUCCCGCUCAAAGCAAGCCUUGUGUUCAUCUGUCAGCUCCUCCAAAAUUUAAAAACACAAACAAGAUAACUCCUACGUUAUUUUCCAACCAUCAAUUUUUUAUUCACCCAGCCUAAAAGUCCUGAUUAUCAGUUCUGGGUCCCUGGCAAUGACUGUUGGGUACAAACUGAGAAGCUGUGCUCUGAAGGUAGGGCUGGGCUUUUCACUGACCAUGUAGGUGGAUUAGUUGUGUGGGCAAAGUGUGUCAUCAUAGCCACUAUGUUUUCUGCACUUGGAGUAGACAGCACCUUGAUAGCUCAGUUGGUAGAGCAGAGGACUGUAGGCAGUUCCUCCUAUGAAGUGCUGUGGUUCCAGGGUCGCUGGUUCAACUCCCGCUCAAAGCAAGCCUUGUGUUCAUCUGUCAGCUCCUCCAAAAUUUAAAAACACAAACAAGAUAACUCCUACUUUAUUUUCCAACCAUCAAUUUUUUAUUCACCCAGCCUAAAAGUCCUGAUUAUCAGUUCUGGGUCCCUGGCAAUGACUGUUGGGUACAAACUGAGAAGCUGCGCUCUGAAGGUAGGGCUGGGCUUUUCACUGACCAUGUAGGUGGAUUAGUUGUGUGGGCAAAGUGUGUCAUCAUAGCCACUAUGUUUUCUGCACUUGGACUAGUCAGCACCUUGAUAGCUCAGUUGGUAGAGCAGAGGACUGUAGGCAGUUCCUCCUAUGAAGUGCUGUCGUUCCAAGGUCGCUGGUUCAACUCCCGCUCAAAGCAAGCCUUGUCUUCAUCUGUCAGCUCCUCCAAAAUUUAAAAACACAAACAAGAUAACUCCUACUUUAUUUUCCAACCGUCAAUUUUUUAUUCACCCAGCCUAAAAGUCCUGAUUAUCAGUUCUGGGUCCCUGGCAAUGACUGUUGGGUACAAACUGAGAAGCUGUGCUCUGAAGGUAGGGCUGGGCUUUUCACUGACCAUGUUGGUGGAUUAGUUGUGUGGGCAAAGUGUGUCAUCAUAGCCACUAUGUUUUCUGCACUUGGAGUAGACAGCACCUUGAUAGCUCAGUUGGUAGAGCACAGGACUGUAGGCAGUUCCUCCUAUGAAAGGCUGUCGUUCCAAGGUCCCUGGUUCAACUCCCGCUCAAAGCAAGCCUUGUGUUCAUCUGUCAGCUCCUCCAAAAUUUAAAAACACAAACAAGAUAACUCCUACUUUAUUUUCCAACCAUCAAUUUUUUAUUCACCCAGCCUAAAAGUCCUGAUUAUCAGUUCUGGGUCCCUGGCAAUGACUGUUGGGUACAAACUGAGAAGCUGUGCUCUGAAGGUAGGGCUGGGCUUUUCACUGACCAUGUAGGUGGAUUAGUUGUGUGGGCAAAGUGUGUCAUCAUAGCCACUAUGUUUUCUGCACUUGGAGUAGACAGCACCUUGAUAGCUCAGUUGGUAGAGCAGAGGACUGUAGGCAGUUCCUCCUAUGAAGUGCUGUGGUUCCAAGGUCGCUGGUUCAACUCCUGCUCAAAGCAAGCCUUGUCUUCAUCUGUCAGCUCCUCCAAAAUUUAAAAACACAAACAAGAUAACUCCUACUUUAUUUUCCAACCGUCAAUUUUUUGUUCACCCAGCCUAAAAGUCCUGAUUAUCAGUUCUGGGUCCCUGGCAAUGACUGUUGGGUACAAACUGAGAAGCUGUGCUCUGAAGGUAGGGCUGGGCUUUUCACUGACCAUGUAGGUGGAUUAGUUGUGUGGGCAAAGUGUGUCAUCAUAGCCACUAUGUUUUCUGCACUUGGAGUAGACAGCACCUUGAUAGCUCAGUUGGUAGAGCAGAGGACUGUAGGCAGUUCCUCCUAUGAAGUGCUGUGGUUCCAAGGUCGCUGGUUCAACUCCCGCUCAAAGCAAGCCUUGUCUUCAUCUGUCAGCUCCUCCAAAAUUUAAAAACACAAACAAGAUAACUCCUACUUUAUUUUCCAACCGUCAAUUUUUUAUUCACCCAGCCUAAAAGUCCUGAUUAUCAGUUCUGGGUCCCUGGCAAUGACUGUUGGGUACAAACUGAGAAGCUGUGCUCUGAAGGUAGGGCUGGGCUUUUCACUGACCAUGUAGGUGGAUUAGUUGUGUGGGCAAAGUGUGUCAUCAUAGCCACUAUGUUUUCUGCACUUGGAGUAGACAGCACCUUGAUAGCUCAGUUGGUAGAGCAGAGGACUGUAGGCAGUUCCUCCUAUGAAGUGCUGUCGUUCCAAGGUCGCUGGUUCAACUCUUGCUCAAAGCAAGCCUUGUCUUCAUCUGUCAGCUCCUCCAAAAUUUAAAAACACAAACAAGAUAACUCCUACUUUAUUUUCCAACCAUCAAUUUUUUAUUCACCCAGCCUAAAAGUCCUGAUUAUCAGUUCUGGGUCCCUGGCAAUGACUGUUGGGUACAAACUGAGAAGCUGUGCUCUGAAGGUAGGGCUGGGCUUUUCACUGACCAUGUAGGUGGAUUAGUUGUGUGGGCAAAGUGUGUCAUCAUAGCCACUAUGUUUUCUGCACUUGGAGUAGACAGCACCUUGAUAGCUCAGUUGGUAGAGCAGAGGACUGUAGGCAGUUCCUCCUAUGAAGUGCUGUGGUUCCAAGGUCGCUGUUUCAAAUCCCGCUCAAAGCAAGCCUUGUCUUCAUCUGUCAGCUCCUCCAAAAUUUAAAAACACAAACAAGAUAACUCCUACUUUAUUUUCCAACCGUCAAUUUUUUAUUCACCCAGCCUAAAAGUCCUGAUUAUCAGUUCUGGGUCCCUGGCAAUGACUGUUGGGUACAAACUGAGAAGCUGUGCUCUGAAGGUAGGGCUGGGCUUUUCACUGACCAUGUAGGUGGAUUAGUUGUGUGGGCAAAGUGUGUCAUCAUAGCCACUAUGUUUUCUGCACUUCAAGUAGACAGCACCUUGAUAGCUCAGUUGGUAGAGCAGAGGACUGUAGGCAGUUCCUCCUAUGAAGUGCUCUUGUUCCAAGGUCGCUGGUUCAACUCCAGCUCAAAGCAAGCCUUGUCUUCAUCUGUCAGCUCCUCCAAAAUUUAAAAACACAAACAAGAUAACUCCUACUUUAUUUUCCAACCGUCAAUUUUCUGUUCACCCAGCCUAAAAGUCCUGAUUAUCAGUUCUGGGUCCCUGGCAAUGACUGUUGGGUACAAACUGAGAAGCUGUGCUCUGAAGGUAGGGCUGGGCUUUUCACUGACCAUGUAGGUGGAUUAGUUGUGUGGGCAAAGUGUGUCAUCAUAGCCACUAUGUUUUCUGCACUUGGAGUAGACAGCACCUUGAUAGCUCAGUUGGUAGAGCAGAGGACUGUAGGCAGUUCCUCCAAUGAAGUGCUGUCGUUCCAGGGUCGCUGGUUCAACUCCCGCUCAAAGCAAGCCUUGUGUUCAUCUGUCAGCUCCUCCAAAAUUUAAAAACACAAACAAGAUAACUCCUACGUUAUUUUCCAACCAUCAAUUUUUUAUUCACCCAGCCUAAAAGUCCUGAUUAUCAGUUCUGGGUCCCUGGCAAUGACUGUUGGGUACAAACUGAGAAGCUGUGCUCUGAAGGUAGGGCUGGGCUUUUCACUGACCAUGUAGGUGGAUUAGUUGUGUGGGCAAAGUGUGUCAUCAUAGCCACUAUGUUUUCUGCACUUGGAGUAGACAGCACCUUGAUAGCUCAGUUGGUAGAGCAGAGGACUGUAGGCAGUUCCUCCUAUGAAGUGCUGUGGUUCCAGGGUCGCUGGUUCAACUCCCGCUCAAAGCAAGCCUUGUGUUCAUCUGUCAGCUCCUCCAAAAUUUAAAAACACAAACAAGAUAACUCCUACUUUAUUUUCCAACCAUCAAUUUUUUAUUCACCCAGCCUAAAAGUCCUGAUUAUCAGUUCUGGGUCCCUGGCAAUGACUGUUGGGUACAAACUGAGAAGCUGCGCUCUGAAGGUAGGGCUGGGCUUUUCACUGACCAUGUAGGUGGAUUAGUUGUGUGGGCAAAGUGUGUCAUCAUAGCCACUAUGUUUUCUGCACUUGGACUAGACAGCACCUUGAUAGCUCAGUUGGUAGAGCAGAGGACUGUAGGCAGUUCCUCCUAUGAAGUGCUGUCGUUCCAAGGUCGCUGGUUCAACUCCCGCUCAAAGCAAGCCUUGUGUUCAUCUGUCAGCUCCUCCAAAAUUUAAAAACACAAACAAGAUAACUCCUACUUUAUUUUCCAACCGUCAAUUUUUUAUUCACCCAGCCUAAAAGUCCUGAUUAUCAGUUCUGGGUCCCUGGCAAUGACUGUUGGGUACAAACUGAGAAGCUGUGCUCUGAAGGUAGGGCUGGGCUUUUCACUGACCAUGUUGGUGGAUUAGUUGUGUGGGCAAAGUGUGUCAUCAUAGCCACUAUGUUUUCUGCACUUGGAGUAGACAGCACCUUGAUAGCUCAGUUGGUAGAGCACAGGACUGUAGGCAGUUCCUCCUAUGAAAGGCUGUCGUUCCAAGGUCCCUGGUUCAACUCCCGCUCAAAGCAAGCCUUGUGUUCAUCUGUCAGCUCCUCCAAAAUUUAAAAACACAAACAAGAUAACUCCUACUUUAUUUUCCAACCAUCAAUUUUUUAUUCACCCAGCCUAAAAGUCCUGAUUAUCAGUUCUGGGUCCCUGGCAAUGACUGUUGGGUACAAACUGAGAAGCUGUGCUCUGAAGGUAGGGCUGGGCUUUUCACUGACCAUGUAGGUGGAUUAGUUGUGUGGGCAAAGUGUGUCAUCAUAGCCACUAUGUUUUCUGCACUUGGAGUAGACAGCACCUUGAUAGCUCAGUUGGUAGAGCAGAGGACUGUAGGCAGUUCCUCCUAUGAAGUGCUGUGGUUCCAAGGUCGCUGGUUCAACUCCCGCUCAAAGCAAGCCUUGUCUUCAUCUGUCAGCUCCUCCAAAAUUUAAAAACACAAACAAGAUAACUCCUACUUUAUUUUCCAACCAUCAAUUUUUUAUUCACCCAGCCUAAAAGUCCUGAUUAUCAGUUCUGGGUCCCUGGCAAUGACUGUUGGGUACAAACUGAGAAGCUGUGCUCUGAAGGUAGGGCUGGGCUUUUCACUGACCAUGUAGGUGGAUUAGUUGUGUGGGCAAAGUGUGUCAUCAUAGCCACUAUGUUUUCUGCACUUGGAGUAGACAGCACCUUGAUAGCUCAGUUGGUAGAGCAGAGGACUGUAGGCAGUUCCUCCUAUGAAGUGCUGUGGUUCCAAGGUUGCUGGUUCAACUCCCGCUCAAAGCAAGCCUUGUCUUCAUCUGUCAGCUCCUCCAAAAUUUAAAAACACAAACAAGAUAACUCCUACUUUAUUUUCCAACCGUCAAUUUUUUAUUCACCCAGCCUAAAAGUCCUGAUUAUCAGUUCUGGGUCCCUGGCAAUGACUGUUGGGUACAAACUGAGAAGCUGCGCUCUGAAGGUAGGGCUGGGCUUUUCACUGACCAUGUAGGUGGAUUAGUUGUGUGGGCAAAGUGUGUCAUCAUAGCCACUAUGUUUUCUGCACUUGGAGUAGACAGCACCUUGAUAGCUCAGUUGGUAGAGCAGAGGACUGUAGGCAGGUCCUCCUAUGAAGUGCUGUGGUUCCAAGGUCGCUGGUUCAACUCCCGCUCAAAGCAAGCCUUGUGUUCAUCUGUCAGCUCCUCCAAAAUUUAAAAACACAAACAAGAUAACUCCUACUUUAUUUUCCAACCAUCAAUUUUUUAUUCACCCAGCCUAAAAGUCCUGAUUAUCAGUUCUGGGUCCCUGGCAAUGACUGUUGGGUACAAACUGAGAAGCUGUGCUCUGAAGGUAGGGCUGGGCUUUUCACUGACCAUGUAGGUGGAUUAGUUGUGUGGGCAAAGUGUGUCAUCAUAGCCACUAUGUUUUCUGCACUUGGAGUAGACAGCACCUUGAUAGCUCAGUUGGUAGAGCAGAGGACUGUAGGCAGUUCCUCCUAUGAAGUGCUGUGGUUCCAAGGUCGCUGGUUCAACUCCCGCUCAAAGCAAGCCUUGUCUUCAUCUGUCAGCUCCUCCAAAAUUUAAAAACACAAACAAGAUAACUCAUACUUUAUUUUCCAACCAUCAAUUUUUUAUUCACCCAGCCUAAAAGUCCUGAUUAUCAGUUCUGGGUCCCUGGCAAUGACUGUUGGGUACAAACUGAGCAGCUGUGCUCUGAAGGUAGGGCUGGGCUUUUCACUGACCAUGUAGGUGGAUUAGUUGUGUGGGCAAAGUGUGUCAUCAUAGCCACUAUGUUUUCUGCACUUGGAGUAGACAGCACCCUGAUAGCUCAGUUGGUAGAACAGAGGACUCUAGGCAGUUCCUCCUAUGAAGUGCUGUGGUUCCAAGGUCGCUGGUUCAACUCCCGCUCAAAGCAAGCCUUGUGUUCAUCUGUCAGCUCCUCCAAAAUUUAAAAACACAAACAAGAUAACUCCUACUUUAUUUUCCAACCGUCAAUUUUUUAUUCACCCAGCCUAAAAGUCCUGAUUAUCAGUUCUGGGUCCCUGGCAAUGACUGUUGGGUACAAACUGAGAAGCUGUGCUCUGAAGGUAGGGCUGGGCUUUUCACUGACCAUGUAGGUGGAUUAGUUGUGUGGGCAAAGUGUGUCAUCAUAGCCACUAUGUUUUCUGCACUUGGAGUAGACAGCACCUUGAUAGCUCAGUUGGUAGAGCAGAGGACUGUAGGCAGUUCCUCCUAUGAAGUGCUGUGGUUCCAAGGUCGCUGGUUCAACUCCCGCUCAAAGCAAGCCUUGUGUUCAUCUGUCAGCUCCUCCAAAAUUUAAAAACACAAACAAGAUAACUCCUACUUUAUUUUCCAACCAUCAAUUUUUUAUUCACCCAGCCUAAAAGUCCUGAUUAUCAGUUCUGGGUCCCUGGCAAUGACUGUUGGGUACAAACUGAGAAGCUGUGCUCUGAAGGUAGGGCUGGGCUUUUCACUGACCAUGUAGGUGGAUUAGUUGUGUGGGCAAAGUGUGUCAUCAUAGCCACUAUGUUUUCUGCACUUGGAGUAGACAGCACCUUGAUAGCUCAGUUGGUAGAGCAGAGGACUGUAGGCAGUUCCUCCUAUGAAGUGCUGUGGUUCCAAGGUCGGUGGUUCAACUCCCGCUCAAAGCAAGCCUUGUCUUCAUCUGUCAGCUCCUCCAAAAUUUAAAAACACAAACAAGAUAACUCCUACUUUAUUUUCCAACCGUCAAUUUUUUAUUCACCCAGCCUAAAAGUCCUGAUUAUCAGUUCUGGGUCCCUGGCAAUGACUGUUGGGUACAAACUGAGAAGCUGUGCUCUGAAGGUAGGGCUGGGCUUUUCACUGACCAUGUAGGUGGAUUAGUUGUGUGGGCAAAGUGUGUCAUCAUAGCCACUAUGUUUUCUGCACUUGGAGUAGACAGCACCUUGAUAGCUCAGUUGGUAGAGCAGAGGACUCUAGGCAGUUCCUCCUAUGAAGUGCUGUGGUUCCAAGGUCGCUGGUUCAACUCCCGCUCAAAGCAAGCCUUGUGUUCAUCUGUCAGCUCCUCCAAAAUUUAAAAACACAAACAAGAUAACUCCUACUUUAUUUUCCAACCGUCAAUUUUUUAUUCACCCAGCCUAAAAGUCCUGAUUAUCAGUUCUGGGUCCCUGGCAAUGACUGUUGGGUACAAACUGAGAAGCUGUGCUCUGAAGGUAGGGCUGGGCUUUUCACUGACCAUGUAGGUGGAUUAGUUGUGUGGGCAAAGUGUGUCAUCAUAGCCACUAUGUUUUCUGCACUUGGAGUAGACAGCACCUUGAUAGCUCAGUUGGUAGAGCAGAGGACUGUAGGCAGUUCCUCCUAUGAAGUGCUGUGGUUCCAAGGUCGCUGGUUCAACUCCUGCUCAAAGCAAGCCUUGUCUUCAUCUGUCAGCUCUUCCAAAAUUUAAAAACACAAACAAGAUAACUCCUACUUUAUUUUCCAACCGUCAAUUUUUUGUUCACCCAGCCUAAAAGUCCUGAUUAUCAGUUCUGGGUCCCUGGCAAUGACUGUUGGGUACAAACUGAGAAGCUGUGCUCUGAAGGUAGGGCUGGGCUUUUCACUGACCAUGUAGGUGGAUUAGUUGUGUGGGCAAAGUGUGUCAUCAUAGCCACUAUGUUUUCUGCACUUGGAGUAGACAGCACCUUGAUAGCUCAGUUGGUAGAGCAGAGGACUGUAGGCAGUUCCUCCUAUGAAGUGCUGUGGUUCCAAGGUCGCUGGUUCAACUCCCGCUCAAAGCAAGCCUUGUCUUCAUCUGUCAGCUCCUCCAAAAUUUAAAAACACAAACAAGAUAACUCCUACUUUAUUUUCCAACCGUCAAUUUUUUAUUCACCCAGCCUAAAAGUCCUGAUUAUCAGUUCUGGGUCCCUGGCAAUGACUGUUGGGUACAAACUGAGAAGCUGUGCUCUGAAGGUAGGGCUGGGCUUUUCACUGACCAUGUAGGUGGAUUAGUUGUGUGGGCAAAGUGUGUCAUCAUAGCCACUAUGUUUUCUGCACUUGGAGUAGACAGCACCUUGAUAGCUCAGUUGGUAGAGCAGAGGACUGUAGGCAGUUCCUCCUAUGAAGUGCUGUCGUUCCAAGGUCGCUGGUUCAACUCUUGCUCAAAGCAAGCCUUGUCUUCAUCUGUCAGCUCCUCCAAAAUUUAAAAACACAAACAAGAUAACUCCUACUUUAUUUUCCAACCAUCAAUUUUUUAUUCACCCAGCCUAAAAGUCCUGAUUAUCAGUUCUGGGUCCCUGGCAAUGACUGUUGGGUACAAACUGAGAAGCUGUGCUCUGAAGGUAGGGCUGGGCUUUUCACUGACCAUGUAGGUGGAUUAGUUGUGUGGGCAAAGUGUGUCAUCAUAGCCACUAUGUUUUCUGCACUUGGAGUAGACAGCACCUUGAUAGCUCAGUUGGUAGAGCAGAGGACUGUAGGCAGUUCCUCCUAUGAAGUGCUGUGGUUCCAAGGUCGCUGUUUCAAAUCCCGCUCAAAGCAAGCCUUGUCUUCAUCUGUCAGCUCCUCCAAAAUUUAAAAACACAAACAAGAUAACUCCUACUUUAUUUUCCAACCGUCAAUUUUUUAUUCACCCAGCCUAAAAGUCCUGAUUAUCAGUUCUGGGUCCCUGGCAAUGACUGUUGGGUACAAACUGAGAAGCUGUGCUCUGAAGGUAGGGCUGGGCUUUUCACUGACCAUGUAGGUGGAUUAGUUGUGUGGGCAAAGUGUGUCAUCAUAGCCACUAUGUUUUCUGCACUUCAAGUAGACAGCACCUUGAUAGCUCAGUUGGUAGAGCAGAGGACUGUAGGCAGUUCCUCCUAUGAAGUGCUCUUGUUCCAAGGUCGCUGGUUCAACUCCAGCUCAAAGCAAGCCUUGUCUUCAUCUGUCAGCUCCUCCAAAAUUUAAAAACACAAACAAGAUAACUCCUACUUUAUUUUCCAACCGUCAAUUUUCUGUUCACCCAGCCUAAAAGUCCUGAUUAUCAGUUCUGGGUCCCUGGCAAUGACUGUUGGGUACAAACUGAGAAGCUGUGCUCUGAAGGUAGGGCUGGGCUUUUCACUGACCAUGUAGGUGGAUUAGUUGUGUGGGCAAAGUGUGUCAUCAUAGCCACUAUGUUUUCUGCACUUGGAGUAGACAGCACCUUGAUAGCUCAGUUGGUAGAGCAGAGGACUGUAGGCAGUUCCUCCAAUGAAGUGCUGUCGUUCCAGGGUCGCUGGUUCAACUCCCGCUCAAAGCAAGCCUUGUGUUCAUCUGUCAGCUCCUCCAAAAUUUAAAAACACAAACAAGAUAACUCCUACGUUAUUUUCCAACCAUCAAUUUUUUAUUCACCCAGCCUAAAAGUCCUGAUUAUCAGUUCUGGGUCCCUGGCAAUGACUGUUGGGUACAAACUGAGAAGCUGUGCUCUGAAGGUAGGGCUGGGCUUUUCACUGACCAUGUAGGUGGAUUAGUUGUGUGGGCAAAGUGUGUCAUCAUAGCCACUAUGUUUUCUGCACUUGGAGUAGACAGCACCUUGAUAGCUCAGUUGGUAGAGCAGAGGACUGUAGGCAGUUCCUCCUAUGAAGUGCUGUGGUUCCAGGGUCGCUGGUUCAACUCCCGCUCAAAGCAAGCCUUGUGUUCAUCUGUCAGCUCCUCCAAAAUUUAAAAACACAAACAAGAUAACUCCUACUUUAUUUUCCAACCAUCAAUUUUUUAUUCACCCAGCCUAAAAGUCCUGAUUAUCAGUUCUGGGUCCCUGGCAAUGACUGUUGGGUACAAACUGAGAAGCUGCGCUCUGAAGGUAGGGCUGGGCUUUUCACUGACCAUGUAGGUGGAUUAGUUGUGUGGGCAAAGUGUGUCAUCAUAGCCACUAUGUUUUCUGCACUUGGACUAGACAGCACCUUGAUAGCUCAGUUGGUAGAGCAGAGGACUGUAGGCAGUUCCUCCUAUGAAGUGCUGUCGUUCCAAGGUCGCUGGUUCAACUCCCUCUCAAAGCAAGCCUUGUGUUCAUCUGUCAGCUCCUCCAAAAUUUAAAAACACAAACAAGAUAACUCCUACUUUAUUUUCCAACCGUCAAUUUUUUAUUCACCCAGCCUAAAAGUCCUGAUUAUCAGUUCUGGGUCCCUGGCAAUGACUGUUGGGUACAAACUGAGAAGCUGUGCUCUGAAGGUAGGGCUGGGCUUUUCACUGACCAUGUUGGUGGAUUAGUUGUGUGGGCAAAGUGUGUCAUCAUAGCCACUAUGUUUUCUGCACUUGGAGUAGACAGCACCUUGAUAGCUCAGUUGGUAGAGCACAGGACUGUAGGCAGUUCCUCCUAUGAAAGGCUGUCGUUCCAAGGUCCCUGGUUCAACUCCCGCUCAAAGCAAGCCUUGUGUUCAUCUGUCAGCUCCUCCAAAAUUUAAAAACACAAACAAGAUAACUCCUACUUUAUUUUCCAACCAUCAAUUUUUUAUUCACCCAGCCUAAAAGUCCUGAUUAUCAGUUCUGGGUCCCUGGCAAUGACUGUUGGGUACAAACUGAGAAGCUGUGCUCUGAAGGUAGGGCUGGGCUUUUCACUGACCAUGUAGGUGGAUUAGUUGUGUGGGCAAAGUGUGUCAUCAUAGCCACUAUGUUUUCUGCACUUGGAGUAGACAGCACCUUGAUAGCUCAGUUGGUAGAGCAGACUAAUGUAGGCAGUUCCUCCUAUGAAGUGCUGUGGUUCCAAGGUCGCUGGUUCAACUCCCGCUCAAAGCAAGCCUUGUGUUCAUCUGUCAGCUCCUCCAAAAUUUAAAAACACAAACAAGAUAACUCCUACUUUAUUUUCCAACCAUCAAUUUUUUAUUCACCCAGCCUAAAAGUCCUGAUUAUCAGUUCUGGGUCUGGCAAUGACUGUUGGGUACAAACUGAGAAGCUGUGCUCUGAAGGUAGGGCUGGGCUUUUCACUGACCAUGUAGGUGGAUUAGUUGUGUGGGCAAAGUGUGUCAUCAUAGCCACUAUGUUUUCUGCACUUGGAGUAGACAGCACCUUGAUAGCUCAGUUGGUAGAGCAGAGGACUGUAGGCAGUUCCUCCUAUGAAGUGCUGUGGUUCCAAGGUCGCUGGUUCAACUCCCGCUCAAAGCAAGCCUUGUCUUCAUCUGUCAGCUCCUCCAAAAUUUAAAAACACAAACAAGAUAACUCCUACUUUAUUUUCCAACCAUCAAUUUUUUAUUCACCCAGCCUAAAAGUCCUGAUUAUCAGUUCUGGGUCCCUGGCAAUGACUGUUGGGUACAAACUGAGAAGCUGUGCUCUGAAGGUAGGGCUGGGCUUUUCACUGACCAUGUAGGUGGAUUAGUUGUGUGGGCAAAGUGUGUCAUCAUAGCCACUAUGUUUUCUGCACUUGGAGUAGACAGCACCCUGAUAGCUCAGUUGGUAGAACAGAGGACUGUAGGCAGUUCCUCCUAUGAAGUGCUGUGGUUCCAAGGUCGCUGGUUCAACUCCCGCUCAAAGCAAGCCUUGUCUUCAUCUGUCAGCUCCUCCAAAAUUUAAAAACACAAACAAGAUAACUCCUACUUUAUUUUCCAACCGUCAAUUUUUUAUUCACCCAG